CUUUCUUAGGUAAAAGCAUGAAAAUUCCAAAUUUGUGACAAAACAAGGAAGAUCGUUAGUGUAUAGGUCCUCAAGAAUUGCAAGAAGAUCUCCCUUAAUGAUCCCCAACAUUUUUUAUAGAACUCAGUGGGGAACUCAUCUGGUCUCGACUCUAUUAUGAUCCAUCUAAGAUAUGACCUAAAAAACACAUUUUCCUGGAAAGGUGUUGUCGACACUUCAUUUUCCUCGGUGGAGAGUUGAGCUUUAUCAUCAGUGGUAUCUUCCACCAGGGAUGUAAAAUUGGAUUGUGAAGAGCCAAAAAGACGCUAUAAAAGUUAGUAAUGUAAGCUUUCAGAUGGUCCAAACCCACAAUGGCCCUCAUCUUGUUCAAGCUGGGAGAUUUUUUUUCGAGUUUUCCAUUUGCAAUCAAGUGGGAGAACUUCGUAUUAUUAUCGCCUUCCUGGAUAGAUCUUAAUUUUGCCUAUCGAGCCCAAUUAAUUUCUUCCUCACGCAAAAGGUUAGCCAAGAAUUCGUUCGCCUCUGGCUUAGCCUCACAAUCUGUUGUGGAGAGGGGCAUGGAUUCUACCUUAAUGUCCAAAGUACUACCAAUUCCGAGGAGACAUUCUUUUUCUAAUAUGCUUAGCCUAACCCUGAAGGAAUUUUCUAAGGUGCCGAAUUUUCAAUUGCCACUUCUCAAUAUUAGUAACUCCUUUAGUCUCCUUUGACCAUUCAUGAGCUAGUAUUAAGAAAACCUUCCCUCUCAAACCAAGAUGUUUCAAAGGAAAAAAGGAGCCUUGUAUCUCGGAUGACCUACCCACCAGAAUCCAAAAGAAGAGAAGUGUGGUUGGAGUUACUUCUCUGGAGAGCACGAACCAUCACCAAAGGAAAUAUCUACUCCCACUCCACACUCAUCAACACAUGAUCCAUCAAUUCGUAAAUCAGUGAGGAUAAAUUAUCAACCCAAGUGAAUUGGCAACACAAUAAAGUUACCACCCUUAGGUCCAAUUUCUUAAUAAUGGCACUAAACACAAAUGGCCAUCUCACAUCGAAAUUAUACUAAAUUUGAGGUUUUGGAUAUGGGGGUUGGUGACUUUGUGGUCAAGUUUCAUGUUCAAGUUAUCGAUAGUAGAGAGGGUUCUCUCGGGCUAUCCAGAAACAACAGUGCAAUAACACAAAAAAAUGGCGCGAUAGGGGGGUUCCUGUGGGCCAAUCCCAUCGUUCUCCCUCGCCUCCGGCGGACGCUUGGUGCCGGGAAGUGGGGGAUACUAGGAUUUUAGAUAGGGACUUUUGGCGGCAUCUCCUGGUGUUGGUAGUCAAACAAUGGUAGUGCUGACACGUCGAAAUAAGGUUUACUCCAUGCUGUUCCCCAAAAGCGUUGUGGGUCUUGGGAGGAUGCCUAUCCUCUAAGCCUGUGUGUGUGCUUAGCGGAGGAGUGUGCAGGAGGUUUGGAUCGAGAUCCAGGUUCUCUGAUCCAGUCGAUGCGGUUGAUCAAUAACAGGGGAUUGUGGUGGGCUUGUGUUUGUAUGGUGUACGUCUGGUUUAUGAAUACGGGUACUUUCUCAAAAAAGGUUUCAUUUUCAAUCAAGAAGUGAUGGCUUCACAUGGGCUCUUUUGAUUAUUUAUGGGGCAGCACGCCCGAGCUUAAAUCUGACUUCCUUGCGAUUCUUGCUCGGAUUUAUGGUUUGAAAUCUCUUCCCAUAUUGGUAGGGGAUGAUUUUAGCAUUAUGCGGCUAUAGGAAGAGAAGAAUAACCAUGCAUAAAAGUGAAACUAAAAAAAAUGAACAAAAGAAAUUCACUCCUUUUGGCUCACGGACAACUUGUCAGUUUCAAAGGGGUAACCUAGUACUCUAGUAGUAGUGAUGAGACUGAAUUGAUGCUUAAUUCAAAAGGCAACAUUCGAAGGCCAUAUCAAAUGACAUGAACACAGGUCAGAGCACCAGAUCUUUUGAAAAUGGAUGUGUGCAUCAUGUAAUGCAGAGGCGGGCGAGGAUAAACCCUCCUUUUGAAAAGAAAAGAUUAUCUUACAUAUUCCUUCUGGUUAACGUCGUUGGUUUAUUCAGUUAAGAUGAUUGAUCGGAGGCGAUGCUCAAAGCCUAACUAACGUGCAUGACCUUAUUGCCUAUAUCGAUCUUCUAGUAAGAUGGCCCGUCAAAAUCAGGCACAAAUGUUGGUUGACUGCACGCAUAUUCUUGUAUUCUUAACAAAAUUUAGGUGGCCAAGUACUCAUCAUACGGUUCAAGCUUUUGAACCAUACACACAUGGCCAAAACCGUCGUAUUGCAUGGCGGAUGUUUGUGGUGUUACCUUAGGCGUUUUGGAAUUGUUGUAACAAACUUGCUACCAAGGUAGUCAUUCCAAACCACCCCGUUGACUACAUUUUUAAACGGUCAAUCUUCUUUGAGUUGUGGCUGCCUCUCUGGGCAAGAGGAAAGACAUGGCGAUGCCGAGGGCGAUGCUGGGAAAGAUUAAGACGAUCCACAACGUAGACACGCAACAACAGACUAAUCUUCGCCAGCUGUGAGCUUACCUUAUGUUUCAUGUCUAAACUUUUUGCUCUCUGUUUGAGGCCUGGGAUGUACUCCCUCCGCCCCUGAAAAUAAGUAUUUUUAAAGAUUUCAAUAUGAAAUAUAUACGGAGCAAAAUGAAUGAAUCCACACUCUAAAAUAUCACUAUAUACAUCCGUAUAUAGUCCAUACUGAAAUCUCUGAAAAGACUUAUAUUUAGGAACGGAGGGAGUAAUAUGUUGCUACCUUUGUUCUUAUUAUUUUCCUGGUAUUUUUUUCUCCUACAUCUAUUUGCCAGUCUACCGUUCCAUUGUCAUGGGGUUGCUUGAGCAGAAGAAAGAUUAGUAGAUGUGUUUUUAGUUCGCUACGGGGAAGCUUGGGCUAUGUGGCAUCCCUGAAUUCUAUUUAACUAUAGUCCUAGCAAAACUCUUCUUGUAGAAGAGGAAUGCGAUCUCAGCUGAAGUUGGUCACCCUCUGCCCCUGGACUGAAAGCAUGCAGGUCGCCAUCCAAACGAUGGAGACACACGAGCUUGUAAUCUCAGAGGCAAAUUUUGGGGACACCUUGGCAUUUGUAUUCAGACAUCAGGUGCUCAAAACGACACAUCGCAGCACGGGGAAAAUGAUACAGUACGUAUGAACAGUCAGUGCGGCUCUGCACUGGGACUGAACAUGAUAUGUAUGAACACGUCUGGAACGCUGUCCCCUACUCUGUAACCACAUUCAACUACAAGAGCACUUGUUGCCAGGCAGAGACAGUGUUAGCUAGCAGCAGCGCAAGCAAACAGAUUCUCCAUCAGAGAUAAUGUCGCAGCUUACAAUAUGACAUUGAGCAAAAGAUAAACGACAAGUACCAACUGUACAUAACACACAAAUACUAGCAGCAUUCAAACGCCUUGUAAAUUUGCAAGUUCCGAUUCUAAUCCUUGGCUCAGUCACCACCUCCUCGAUCAUGAUUUGCUCCCGAGUGGGUAGGGUAACAAAGCAUUCCAUUGCUCAAGUGAGUAGACAAUUUUACAGAUCAUCACAAGGAUGUGGCAACACUAGACAUACAAGCAAGGGAACACAACCUAACACACUUAGAUCAAGGCUCAGUCAAAAGGAUCAGCCACUGACAAAUCAUGAGUACGUACAUGGCGAGUGAAUUUAUUAACUUUUACUUCAAUGCGUGCAUCUUCAGAAGCUCUAUUCACCAACUGUAGCUGCCUACGUAGAUAACACAUCCAGUCGUCGAUGUUGCAGUUGGAUUUGUAGUUGUAACGGCCCCCGAUUUCCAUUUUCCUUAGCACUUUCGCGUUCGAAAGAAAGAACUUGGCAAAGUCAAUAUAUAGCCUAUGACCACCACAGUAAUUCUUCAACACCACUUCUUUUAGAUGGAGUUCAAGGCAUUCAAUUGGAUCAAGCUGAUCGUACUUCCCCGCAAUAUUCAUAUCCUUUCCUUCACUAAACUGGGGACAGAAAAAGGAAAUGAUAUUAAGGCAGCUGAUGACAAAUUAGCACCUAAACACUCCUAGUUCACUUUAUCAGAAGUCUGAAGCACUGAUGUUUUGGCAACAGAUAGCAACACUCACAAUGACAUAGAGCUUCUCCAAGCAGGGGAAGCACUUGAGGAAGUCAACAACAAGAUCCAGAUUAGGAGCACAUUCGAGGACCAAAAUCUUGAGUGCGCGCAUUUUGGUUGUCAUGGUGACAGCAAUCAUUCUCUGGGGAAAAGGAAACCGAGUGUGUGAUAUCAGAAUAAUACAAUAGGCUGCAUAUAAAGAAAUCUGAUUGUGCUACUGUUCUUGCUAGUACCUGAAAGACUGUGGUUCCAAGGUGGAGCCUGAAUAUGCCUUGAGACAAGAAACCAAGUACCUCCAGCUUAGGAGCCCGGAUUACCCGUAUGGUCGCCGGACCAUCGUCUGGGUAAAUCGGCAGCAGCCUCUCAAGGCAAGGGGCGUCGUCAAUGACCAGCUCCCGGAAGGUGAAGACACCUUCGACGCUGAUGCUCCUGAGGGUCGGCGAGCUGAUGCACAGGCGACCGAAGCUCAUGUUGUGCAGUGAGAUGCUUUGGAGAACAGCGCAGCCGGAGAUGACGCUUUGCAGAGUGUCCUCCGAGAUGCCAACAUUGAACAGCAUGAUCUGCUUGAGGCGCGGAAAGCUCGGAGGCGGCGGCGCGGCCGGGCCGGGGAACCGGCAGCCGCCGAGCCUGAGCACGCACAGCGUGGGCGCGAAGCGCGCCAGCGGGUGCGGCGGCAGCGGGUAGUGGCUCCCCCACUCCAGGUUGGUGACCUCGAGGUCCUGCAGGCCGGCCAGCGACGCGGAGCGGAACCAGCCGUCGGCCUCGCCCGGGCCGCGGGGGGAGAGGGCGAGGGCGAGCCGGAGCGAGAGGCGGCGGGCCGGGCCGGGGUGGCCGGAGAGGAUCCUGGAGACCAGCGCGGCCCGUGAUUCGUCGUCGCAUGCGAGGUCGGGGGCCGCCGCGAGGUUGAGCGGCGCGUCGGCGGAGCGCCAGAGGGGACGCCAACGGCGGGAGAGGGCCUGCGUGCGCGCGCCGUCCUUGGUGGGGAGGAGAGAGACGACGGUGCCGAGCACCGCGUCGGGGAGGCGGCUGAUGAGGUCGAGGUCGAGGCCCCCCGGCGGCGGCGGAUCCUGCUGGCCGUCGGCUCGGACGGGCCUGCGCCUCUUCCUGACUUGCAUUUCGGGGGUGGCCGCCGCCGCGUCCUCCUUGGCCGGCGGUUGGCGAGCCUCGCGGCAGUGGGAGGGAAGGGGAUUUGAAGUUUGACUUGUUCAGCAGUGAGGGGAUUUAGGAAAGAGACGGAGGCAGCGGGCGAGCGGCGUCACAACGCAGCCCAGGCCCAGCCCCAGCCCGUUACUUACUCUCUCCUUCGCAAUGUACGUACGGGCCCAUUUUACAAACUUAAUUUAUAUAAGCAAAUAACUUCAACUUUUAUCUUCAGAAAAAUAAUAUUAUUUUCUUCCUGAUGUUGCGCAUUCUUUGUUUGAGUUAAGGCAAGAGACCUACAUAUGACCAAUGCUAAUUGUGUAAGGAUGUUAUUAUGUAUGCAGUGUUGUCCAUGUUACUUACGAAAAGUUUUCUACAACUGUUGUCCAUGUUAUUAGGUAUGCAGCGUUAAAUUAUGUCUUUGCAUGAAAAUCACUACGAAUUUAAUCUUGUGUAAGCUUGUUGUACGAGCCCAUAACUUCCUUUCACCUAGGAAAACCACAUUUGCUAGUAGAUGAUUGGCAAUUAGGGAACCUCUCAGCACCGUCUUGGUCUACUUACCCAAUCAAAUUGAAACAAAAACAUAAAAUGGAUGUUCUUGUUAAAAUAAACUUUGUCCUCUAUGGAUUGCUGGUUUUCUGAUGUCACAAGGCCAUAUUUUCCAGAUUUAAGAGUUGAAACUCUCAGAUAAACAGUUAGUGCCCAGAUUUAAGAGUUGGUACUCUCAGACGAGGGUUGAUUGUUUCAUGUUAUUAUAUUAUCAUUUUAAUAUAAUUUUUAUAUUAUUUUAUAUUAUUUUUUCUGGACUAACAUAUUAAUUUAAUGCCAAGUGUGAGUUCCUAUUUUUUGCGUGUUAAAAUAAGUUGCCAAUUAAAUAUGAUUUUCCCGCUAAUAUGCAGACCAGGAAGCUUCGUGAGACCUCAAGAGGACCAGCCAGGGACCCACAUAGCCACGUUGUGUGGCCUGGGGGCGCCACCUGCCCGUGUGGGCCCCCCCUGAACCACUAGUCCACUCCAGGUACCCCCAUGUUGCCCAAACAUCAUGCCAAACCGUCGGCGCAUGUGGCCAGAAUGUGAUCGAUGUAUUCCUACUCCUAAUCACACAAUGGACACCGCUCCACAUGAGGCAAGCCUCGUUGAGCUAGAUGAUCGAUGUCCAACAUUUGUCCUUCACUAAAAAAAAGAUACAUCCGUGACAUUUUGGGCCGAACGAAAAAAAUUUCUGUCAUACAUAUGACACUUCUAUGACAAUAAUUGUGACAAAAUCCGGUAUCAUCGUAGAUGUGGUGGGCUCCUACUUCUAUGACAAAAAAUCAUGACAGAAAAUGGGCUUUUCGUCCUGGGCGGGCCGGAGACGCAGCUGCAUGACAUUCUUUCGACCGUCCAUGACGGAAAAACCGUGGUAGAAGCGAGGGCAAGGAAAAUUUCGGGGAGUUCCCGGUUACAGUGGGAGGUCGGGGGCCGAGCGAUGCACGUUUCUCUCGUACACGUACGCGCGUGUGUUCGAGGCGUUGGCUCUAACUAAACCUGAGCGAGGCGUUGGGCUCUAACUAAACCCGAGCGAUUGCACUGCAGGCUACGCGUUACUGAACCCGAGCGAUUGAUCGAUGCCUGUUAACUGAACCCGAUCGAGCGAUUCCUUCGGUACUGCUGCUAACUGAAGCCGAUCGAUGCUGCCUCUGGGAUGAANNNNNNNNNNNNNNNNNNNNNNNNNNNNNNNNNNNNNNNNNNNNNNNNNNNNNNNNNNNNNNNNNNNNNNNNNNNNNNNNNNNNNNNNNNNNNNNNNNNNNNNNNNNNNNNNNNNNNNNNNNNNNNNNNNNNNNNNNNNNNNNNNNNNNNNNNNNNNNNNNNNNNNNNNNNNNNNNNNNNNNNNNNNNNNNNNNNNNNNNNNNNNNNNNNNNNNNNNNNNNNNNNNNNNNNNNNNNNNNNNNNNNNNNNNNNNNNNNNNNNNNNNNNNNNNNNNNNNNNNNNNNNNNNNNNNNNNNNNNNNNNNNNNNNNNNNNNNNNNNNNNNNNNNNNNNNNNNNNNNNNNNNNNNNNNNNNNNNNNNNNNNNNNNNNNNNNNNNNNNNNNNNNNNNNNNNNNNNNNNNNNNNNNNNNNNNNNNNNNNNNNNNNNNNNNNNNNNNNNNNNNNNNNNNNNNNNNNNNNNNNNNNNNNNNNNNNNNNNNNNNNNNNNNNNNNNNNNNNNNNNNNNNNNNNNNNNNNNNNNNNNNNNNNNNNNNNNNNNNNNNNNNNNNNNNNNNNNNNNNNNNNNNNNNNNNNNNNNNNNNNNNNNNNNNNNNNNNNNNNNNNNNNNNNNNNNNNNNNNNNNNNNNNNNNNNNNNNNNNNNNNNNNNNNNNNNNNNNNNNNNNNNNNNNNNNNNNNNNNNNNNNNNNNNNNNNNNNNNNNNNNNNNNNNNNNNNNNNNNNNNNNNNNNNNNNNNNNNNNNNNNNNNNNNNNNNNNNNNNNNNNNNNNNNNNNNNNNNNNNNNNNNNNNNNNNNNNNNNNNNNNNNNNNNNNNNNNNNNNNNNNNNNCCGUUUCCUCCGUUGUGCGGUACGCCACACCCCUCCCGAUCAAGAGGACCCCCGUUUCGACCGUAGGAGGUCUGUUUCCUCCGUUUUGCGGUACGCCACACUCCUCCCGAUCAACAGGACCCCCGUUUCGACCGUAGGAGGUCCGUUUCCUCCGUUUUGCGGUACGCCACACCCCUCCCCAUGAACACGACGCAUUCCGUGCCUCCCCAUGAACACGACGCAUUCUGUUGCCUCCCCAUGAACACGACGACGACGCUGUUUCUCCAUUCCGACCCAGCCAUGUACCCGAGCCCUGGUCGUACGUAUGCGCGAGUAGGCGUUCGAUACCCCGCCCGUAUGUACACAUACGUGGCCGUAUUUCUUUCUUGCACCCUGGCCGCUGUACGUACGUGUACAUGCUACGUGCGCGCCUCUACUACGAUACGUACGCGCCUCUACUAUGACACGUGCGCGCCUCUACAUCCACCAGUAUAUAUGUACAUACACGUUCGCGACCAGAAUGACAACGCUACGUACGCUUCGACCAGGUGGGUCCCGACUGUCAGGCACUUGUUUCGCAAAAAAGGCACUUCUUUGCCUGCGAAGAUGUAGCUGCUGGGUCCCAGCAGUCAAGGGGGCGAAUCAUUUUUUUGCCCGGACGCACUUCCUUGCGUGCGAAGAUGUAGCUGAUGGGUCCCAGCAGUCAGGGGAAACGUUUUUUUCGCAAAAUACAGUGGCCCGUCUGGUGGGUCCCAGCUGUCAGGUGGAGGAAUCAUUAUUUUCCGUGUAAUAAGGAGGCACUUCCUUGCUGCGGCCGUGGACCCAGCUGUCAGCCUCUCCACGUACAGUCCACGUCCGAUGGAAGUCGUUCCUUGACCACGUUGACCACGCCGCGCCGAGAGCACCAGGGCGGUGGACGACGGCGAGGCCUAGGAAGGGGACGACGGGGAGCCGGGGAAGACGCGGCAGUGGAAGCCCGCGCGGAGAGGAGUACGAGGGUUCACUGGUUCGGCUGCGGUGUGAGGCUGCCGUCGCCGCAGGGCCUGGCCAGCGGUGAGAAUAGUAGGGGGCGGUGAGGCCUCCGCGGCAGCACAGCCGGCCACGGGAGGCAGGAGCAUGCGGCACGACCGGCGCUGCUUUGGGCGGCUGGAGCAAGAAGACCAGAGGUUGAAGAAGCACUACGGCCGUUGGAUAGACAUCGUACGGUCACUAGAGCUAGAAUCGUUCAUAUUGACUAAAGUUGACAAAGGCCCCCGUCCCAGUCAACUUAGUAGGCCCACAAGUCAGCCUCCCACCAUGGUGGGUCCCAGCUAGCAGGGGGAGUAUUCAUUUUUUUGUGCGUAAUAAGGAGGCACUUCCUUGCGUGCGAAGAUAUAGCUGGUGGGUCCGAGCUGUCAGCGGCGGUAACGUUUUUUUCGCGAAAUACAGAGGCCCUUUCGGUGGGUCCUUGAUGUCAGGUGGAGGAAUCAUUAUUUUGCGCGUAAUAAGGAGGCAUUUCCUUGCGUGCGGCCGUGGACCCAGCUGUCGGCCUCUCCACAUACAGUCCAGUUCAGAUGCAUGUCGGUCAUUGACCACGUUGACCAGGCCGCGCCGAGAGCACCAGGGCGGUGGACGACGGCGAGGCCUAGGAAGGGAACGACACGGAGGCAGGGAAGACUUGGCAGUUGUUUCCCACGCGGAGGGGAGUACGACUAUACGAGGGUUUACUGGUUCGUCUGCCGUCGCCGGAGAAUAACAGCAGGUGUGGGUGGGUAGAGGGAUGGCUUGUAACACCCUCAGUGUCAUGCUACGGUAACCCACUGUGAUUAAGCUAAUCAUUCUUCCAAACAGUGCUUAAUUACCUUUGAUUCAAAUCUCAUUUGAAAUUCCACUUUGGAAUCAAAUUCAAUUUGCAAGUGCAAAAUGAAGUUGAUCAAAACUUGUUGGAAAAAUGUUCACCUUUUAGCAAAUAAUCCAAAACUAUUUACUGUUAAGGAACACAACAUCAUCAUCAUUUCUAAAUGGGCCUAAUGCAUUUUAACAGAGCAAAAACAGCCUUUAAAAUGCCCUUUUCAUUAUUGAAUAAAUUCAAAUGAAGUCCAAAAAUGCCCAAACUUUUUGUGGCAGUGCUGGAUAUUGCAAAGUAAUUAUGUGACCAAGUUUCACAUUUUUGCAAAAUCAUAUGGAAGCUGAAAAUAUCACUAAACCCCUUUCUAUAAAAAAAGGAAAAUAGAAAAGGCCACUAUGCACAGGCCUAAGUGCACAGCGCCUAGAGCUCAGCCCACCACGGCCUCCUCCUUCUCCCCCGUUCUCUGUUCAAGCGACCGAGGCGCGCCCGCCGUCGCCGCCGAACCAACCUCGCCGACCAAGCCGCUACAGGCCGUCGGGGUGGAUAAGAUCUCCACCGUGGCCUCCCCUCUCGUCAUCUUCAUCCAUUCGCCCCCGCGUGCCUCUCCCUCUCUCGUUCCCCACCUCACCCGAAACGCUCGCCGCCGUCGCCGCUCGAUUCCGUGGCCACCGUGCCUCCCACGCCUCGAUCUGGAGCUCACCGUCUUCCUCGUCAUCGUCUACGUCGCCUACGCCAUCGGGACCGAGCCGAGCGCCUCUACUCUGACCGGAACGAGCUCGUCUUCAACCUUCGGAUCGCCGGCGUUCGUCGCCGAUUCUGGCUACCUCACGCCCUCCCCGAGCUCACUGCCACUCCCUACGGCUCCACUGUGAGCUCCCACUUCUCCUCUCCCUCUCCGUUAGCUCGCCCACGUUUCUUAGCCGCCGAUGCCACCGAUGACCGAACACUCCGCCGCUCGCGCUUGUCACCGGCGUAGCCACGGUGACCCUUGGGUCACGUGCGAGCCACCAUCGCGCUCACCGCACCGCGUAGGCCCCGUCUAGCCGCUUGGUUUGCCCGCAAACGCACCCAGCCCCGAUCCCGAUGACGACCGAAGUCCGGCGUCCGCCUCGCCGCUCGCCGUCGACAUUCCCGACCACCGCAGCCUCUGCCACCACCCCAGAUCGCCUCGCCGUCGUCUUCUCGUUCGAACGAGUCCAGCCACGUCCGAUUUGAGCCACCGUAGCGCAAAUCCAGCGGCCUCCCGUGCGCGCCGCCGUGCGAUUUGGUCACCGGCGUUGCUCCGGCCGCCGUGCUGACCUGGCGCCAACGUGGCCCUAUGGGGGCCACCCCAUUGAGGCUGCCAGUGGGCCCCACGGGCCCAAGUUGACUCGGUUGACCCAGUCAACUGCUGACUGGGCAACCCAGUGCCACUGACAUGCAGGCCCCACCGCUUAAUUAAACUAAUUAAAAUGUUUUAUAUUUAAAAAUAAUUAGUUAAGCUAAACAGUCACUGACAUGUGCGGCCCAGCUGCUAAUUAGCCAUGUUUAAUUAAAAUAACCCACUGUCAGUCCACUGUCGAUGACAGGUGGGACCCACUGGUCAGUUUGACCUGGUCAGCCGUCCUGGUGACCGCUGACGUCACAGUGACGUCAUGCUGAUGCAAUAUUCCUUUUAUGUUAAUAUUAAUAAUUCCAGAAAAUACCUUAACCUUUAGAAAUUCAUAGUAAUUAAACCGUAACUCCGAUGAAAAUGUUUUCUGUAUGAAAGUUGCUCAGAAAAAUCCAACGAAUCCGAAUACACGGUCCGUUCAUCUGUCACAUGCCCUUAGCUUGCUGAACAUGGAACAUUCCCCCUCCGGUCAUCUGACUGACAUAGGUCCUGAACCGGGAACACCUUCCCGGUUGAAUUCCCCCUUCACCUAUAUCGUGUAGCCAUACGUUAGGUCACACCCGGCACAUCAUAUUGCCACGUUAUGCUUUGUGAAGCUAUGUUUGCUUUAUAUUUACUGUUUCUUCCCCCUCUUCUCUCCAGUAGACCCCGAGACCGAUGUUGCCCCUAUGAUCGACUACGUCGACGACGACCCCCUCCUUGCCAGAGCAACUAGGCAAGCCCCCCCCCUUGAUCACCAGAUAUCGCCUAUUCUUCUCUAUACUGCUUGCAUUAGAGUAGUGUAGCAUGUUACUGCUUUCGGUUAAUCCUAUACUGAUGCAUAGCCUGUCAUUGUUGCUACAGUUGUUACCCUUACCUGCUAUCCUACUGCUUAGUAUAGGAUGCUAGUGUUCCAUCAGUGGCCCUACACUCUUGUCCGUCUGCCAUGCUAUACUACUGGGCCGUGAUCACUUCGGGAGGUGAUCACGGGUAUAUACUAUAUACUUUAUAUACAUGACACAUGUGGUGACUAAAGUUGGGUCGGCUCAUUGAGUACCCGCAAGUGAUUCUGGUGAGGGGGCUGAAAGGACAGGUGGCUCCAUCCCGGUAGAGGUGGGCCUGGGUUCCUGACGGCCCCCGACUGUUACUUUAUGGCGGAGCGACAUGGCAGGUUGAGACCACCUAGGAGAGAGGUGGGCCUGGCAUUGGUCGGCGUUCGCGGAUACUUAACACGCUUAACGAGAUCUUGGUAUUUGAUCUGAGUCUGGCCAUUUGGUCUAUACGCACUAAGCAACUACGCGGGAACAGUUAUGGGCACUCGACGUCGUGGUAUCAGCCUAAGCUCUUCCUGACGUCAGCGAUGGAGCGGCGCGCGCCGGAUUGGACUGGAACGCCUGCUAGGCUAGGUCUGCUUCCGGCCGCGUACGCAACGUGCAGGUGUGCAAUGGGUGAUGGGCCCAGACCCCUGCGCGCAUAGGAUUUAGACCGGCGUGUUGACCUCUCUGUUGAGCCUAGGUGGGGCUGCGACGUGUUGAUCUUCCGAGGCCGGGCAUGACCCAGAAAAGUGUGUCCGGCCAAAUGGGAUCGAGCGUGUUGGGUUAUGUGGUGCACCCCUGCAGGGAAGUUUAUCUAUUCGAAUAGCCGUGUCCCUCGGUAAAAGGACGACCCGGAGUUGUACCUUGACCUUAUGACAACUAGAACCGGAUACUUAAUAAAAUACACCCUUCCAAGUGCCAGAUAUAACCCGGUGAUCGCUCUCUAACAGGGCGACGAGGAGGGGAUCGCUGGGUAGGAUUAUGCUAUGCGAUGUUACUUGGAGGACUUCAAUCUACUCUCUUCUAAAUGCUGCAAGAUGAUGGCUGCCAGAAGCGUAGUCUUCGACAGGAUUAGCUAUCCCCUUCUUAUUUUGGCAUUCCGCAGUUUGGUCCAUCGAUAUGGCCCUUUACACAUAUACCCAUGCAUAUGUAGUGUAGCUCCUUGCUUGCGAGUACUUUGGAUGAGUACUCACGGUUGCUUUUCUCCGUCUUUUUCCCCUUUCCUUCUACCUGGUUGUCGCAACCAGAUGCUGGAGUCCAGGAGCUAGAGAUCCCGAGGAUGAUUCUACAUGGAGUUCGGCUUCGAGGAGUAGUUAGGAGGUCCCAGGCAGGAGGCCUUGCCUCUUCGAUCGUUGCUACUUUUGUGCUAGCCUUCUUAAGGUAAACUUGUUUAACUUAUGUCUGUACUCAGAUAUUGUUGCUUCCGCUGACUCGUCUAUGAUCGAGCACUUGUAUUCGAGCCCUCGAGGCCCCUGGCUUGUAUUAUGAUGCUUGUAUGACUUAUUUAUGUUUUAGAGUUAUGUUGUGAUAUCUUCCCGUGAGUCCCUGAUCUUGAUCGUACACAUUUGCGUGCAUGAUUAGUGUACGGUCAAAUCGGGGGCGUCACAAGUUGGUAUCAGAGCCAACUGCCUAUAGGAAGCCCCCUUUCCAACUCCUUGGCCGAAGUCGAGUCUAGUCAUUGAAAAAACUUUUACUAACAUGGCUGUGUGGCUUACGGGCCCACGUCGCCAUUGGGUGGUAUUAGGAUCUUUUACUCCUUUUCUAUACUCUGGGACUCUGAUCUCUCUUCUAUUCAGGUUAAAUGAAUUUUGAUAAUUCUAACAUUAGGAUCUCGUUAUCACUUUCACCCAGAGAGCCCCUUAUUACUGAUGAUCGUCUGCUGCACGUGAGGACCCUGAAGACACUCUCCGCUGUUAACCCGAGAACUUGUGUUCAUCGCUUUUGCAAUUCCCUUCCAUCGAUAAACUCCUAUGGAUAAUCAUGUAUACUCGCCAUUCAUACAAUGUUUCCCAGUUGAUCUUGUUAUUAUAAGAUACCCCGAAAUUCUCUUUGUUGUUCCGAGAAGCCAUUGAGCUUACUGCCUUGCUGUUCUUUGUCACCUGAAUACCCCUACGGAUAAUUCUCGCACUUACCGAGUAUCCGCUCACCCCCAGUUGAUUCAAGUAUUUCACAAAAGUGUUCAAAAUACCAUUCGAUCAUCCAAAAAUCCUCAGGAGCCUUUUUGCUCUUGAAAUUCUUGCUUACUUGCAUUAUGAUUAAUCUUAAGUCUCGUAAUCUUAUUGGCAUCUCUUGUCAUUAUCAUUUUGAGUCCGUUGAUUCAAUUUGUUGCGAAUGCUCGCAAUCUUCAAUCAGAGCCUAGAAUUCAUCCUUCCGGCUCAGAUGUCAUUUGAAACGUGAACUGGUUAUCGACCAAUCAAAUUGCCGUCGAUUGUACCCCUAAGUCUAUUCAACUUAUCCAUUCAUAAUCAGACCAUUGGCUUCUGAUCCCUUGAUUUGGAAAUGAUAAUUCCUUUGCAUUUGAGAAUUGAAUUACUCAGUUGUGUUUAUAGUCCGAUGCCCUUUCGUUCCUGCUUCCUCUGAUAGAGUACCGAUACUCGCAUCAGCUCCGUUGUAGACCACAAGACCCCUUGUUGGGUUAUUAUCCGACAGUGUCCUUCAUAUUCAAUAACCUUGUGAUCAUUUCCAUGGGUAUAUAAUGCCUUUGGUAAUUUGUAUCUUCUGCUUGAUAACCAUACUCUACUUUUGAGCUGGUGAUUUUACUCUUGAAGUUUGAGGUAUAUGUUUCUAAGAUGCCUCGAUGGAUUGAACCUAUACCUUCCCUAAAAACCGUAUGAACCCGAAGGUUUUCACAAGUCAUACCCUUCUGGUAUUUUACCAGUUAAUUUUCUACCAUACAACUUCAUCGAAUGCGAGAAGUAAAUGAAAGGUUAUGCAUUGGAGAAGUGAGAGUCGACCUUGAACUUUGUGCUCAUGCCCAUGGACACGAUGUAGAUCUUAUCAUUAAAGCUUCUCUUAUAUUAAUUAUUCCCUUGGUAUAAGUUCAUCUUAUAUCUGGGAUCUGGCCAUUUGCAAUCGUGGUUCUGACCAUGUUCUCCUUUAAAUACCAUUUCUCGUACAAGUUGAGCACUUGUCUUCUGCAGAGCAAUACCCCAGUCCAACCUCUACUUUGGUUUGUCGUCGAGUAUUACCCCCCUGGUAUCUCGAGAUUAUCAUGGAACUGCAUAACUUCUUAUGAGUUCUUCAUCAAGUACUACAUUCUCACUGAUUCCAAUUUUUCACGGGCUCCGAGUGAUGAAACACUCAAAGACACCGAUAACUGAACCGAGUCCGCACUAUGGUUCAACAACUCUUAGUAAUCUUCUUUACGUACGAGUUUGUACCCGAUCACGCCAUUCCUAGCCUAUUUGGCUAUAUCAUUGUCGAGAUGAUUUUAACUGUGCUACCUGGUCCUUAUUCCCGGAGCAUAACUUUCUACGUUGAGCUAAGCUUACGUCGAUCUUCCUCGUCUUAUCGUUCACCUCGAAUGGCAAACUUGAUUUCGAGUUUGUUGUCUACUUGUGGUUCCAAUAACCUUUCGCUUUCAUCAUUCCCUUCACUUGAUGUCAUCGUCGAUCAAUUACAUCUUCUUGAAAACCUCUCGACAAAUUUGUCGUGAUCAUUGUCAACAAUUUGACUUCUUCCAAGUUGUGUGUCGAAAUUCAGGAUGAGAAAUACCAUCCUUGCCCCUCGAUAAAUUGUGUUAUCAUCGACAACAUUCUUGCCUCCCCCCAACACAAACUUGUUCAUAUUUUGUGUUGUAUCUUGAUUUCCCUGCUAUCCAACUUAUGUUAUGUUCUACCAUGGAGUAUUACCAUCUUUGAUGUCAAGGAUGUCGUGAGCAUUACUCCACCUCUUAAGAAUUCUUGGUACAGUGAUACUUCUCACCAUCACCAUUCUUUCUUGGUCCCCGUGUUGUUUCUAAACGAAAUACCGACAAAUGGUCUGUGAUGUGUAAAUUCUAAACUUCUAGCAACCCUAUUUGCUUUGAAGUUAUUGGUCUAUAGUUUCAUUCUACGUCUAUGGCUUAAUGAAUCAUCAUUCGAACAUUGAUCGUGCUACCUAGCCCAUAUUUCGGGUGCACCGUCAACCAAUGUUCAAUCGUGUAUGUUUCCUCGAGCAUACCUCAUUAUAUCUUUUGAACUGACAAAAGCUAUCUCCUUGUACACAUAGUUGUGGAAAUCCAUCUUUUGGAAAUCUCAAUGGAUUGUCGCUGAGUCAAUCAGUCACCUCCUCACCUCUCCUUGAUUUAAUGAUGAACCCUUGUUCGGAACUAGCUUCCAUAGUUCAUCUCCUGAGAAUCUUCGAUGUCAUUUCGACAAUUUGUGUUGCACCUUUCUUCUCAGGCAUCCUGAGUCUGAGUUAUCCUGACACCAAUCAGAUCUGAAUCUCGGUCAGAUAUGAUGGUUGGAACAUAUUUCCAAGACUUAUAACAUUGGUCUAUUUAUGACCCGGUAAGGUGAUGUCCUGCCUAACACACCUGGCCGGAGGACCUAUUGUUAUAAGUUUUCCUUUUUAGCAAGGUUAGCUAUUCUUCCAUGAGGAAAUUGUAAGACUUACUCUAUAAGUUGUUCCUGAUGGAUCCUUUGUGUAUCCACAGCCUGAUCUUACCUAAUGACCAUGUCAAUGCUAUCUCGAAGCAUGUCUGUGGUACUCCGAUCUUCAAUAAAAACAUUUCAAGCACAAUGCUAAUUUUUCGUUAUCAAUUAUUCAAACACCGUUGUUUGGGUAAUGUCAUGAACUUCCUCUUCCCUAACCUAAAUGGUUCUCUUCUAACCAUUGUCCUUGGGAAGGAUAUACCCCUGAAAUAUGUGUUUAAACACAUUUUCCUUUCCAUUGUUCUGUUUAAUCUGAUAAUCAUAUUUUCCUUUCCAUUGGUUGGUUUAACAUUUCUGGUGAUCAUUAUGAUCUAAGCAGUAUUAAUUCCCUGCUUGUGCAAACACCUCGGUGUACAACUCUGUCAGUAAGACCCUGUUACUAUUGUUGGUGACAUUCCGGUAACCACCGAUGGAUGAGAACUUUGCCUAUUGGUCCGCCUCGUUUCAACGAGCAGGAAAAUGGUUCUCUUCGUCCCUCGCCCUUGGUACCGAUGAAGUUGCUGACAUAUAACUGAAAGGCUACCCUCUGACAUACCUUGCUACCAUGACCAUGCAAGAUGUUACCAUUCCUCCUACUUUUAAUCCACAUGGUGGGCCCAUAACCCACAGUUCCACAGGAUCGAAACCUGACUCUCCUAUACACCCCUGUUUCUAAAGUUACUCCUCACGCUUGGCUUCUUAUGAAAAUCCCGAGACACCUUUCGAGAGACGAUCUAUUCUGGUAUCAGACGCAAUAAUUAUUCCCAUUGCUCUGAAUCCCAUUCACCCUCUAUUUCGGGCAGCAAACGAUUGCCUACCCGGUUGAAGCUUCUUAUUGCAACUCCUUACCUUGCUCUCGACGUCUUUCUUAAAUUUCAACUCGAGAGAUGCCUCUAUGCCAUGUUCACUGAGAUAGUCCCCAGGCACCUAUCAUGUGUUGAGCUCCGUCAUUCCCGAGUUUUUUCCCCUUACUCUACCCCUUAAAAUCUCGGGACGAGAUUUCUUAUAGUGGAGGAGAUUUGUAACACCCUCAGUGUCAUGCUACGGUAACCCACUGUGAUUAAGCUAAUCAUUCUUCCAAACAGUGCUUAAUCACCUUUGAUUCAAAUCUCAUUUGAAAUUCCACUUUGGAAUCAAAUUCAAUUUGCAAGUGCAAAAUGAAGUUGAUCAAAACUUGUUGGAAAAAUGUUCACCUUUUAGCAAAUAAUCCAAAACUAUUUACUGUUAAGGAACACAACAUCAUCAUCAUUUCUAAAUGGGCCUAAUGCAUUUUAACAGAGCAAAAAUAGCCUUUAAAAUGCCCUUUUCAUUAUUGAAUAAAUUCAAAUGAAGUCCAAAAAUGCCCAAACUUUUUGUGGCAGUGCUGGAUAUUGCAAAGUAAUUAUGUGACCAAGUUUUACAUUUUUGCAAAAUCAUAUGAAAGCUCAAAAUAUCACUAAACCCCUUUCUAUAAAAAAAGGAAAAUAGAAAAGGCCAUUGUGCACAGGCCUAAGUGCACAGCGCCUAGAGCUCAGCCCACCACGGCCUCCUCCUUCUCCCCCGUUCUCUGUUCAAGCGACCGAGGCGCGCCCGCCGUCGCCGCCGAACCCCCCUCGCCGACCACGCCGCUACAGGCCGUCGGGGAGGAUAAGAUCUCCACCGUGGCCUCCCCUCUCGUCAUCUUCAUCCAUUCGCCCCCGCGUGCCUCUCCCUCUCUCGUUCCCCACCUCACCCGAAAUGCUCGCCGCCGUCACCGCUCGAUUCCGUGGCCACCGUGCCUCCCGCGCCUCGAUCUGGAGCUCACCGUCUUCCUCGUCAUCGUCUACGUCGCCUACGCCAUCGGGACCGAGCCGAGCGCCUCUACUCCGACCGGAACGAGCUCGUCUUCAACCUUCGGAUCGCCGGCGUUCGUCGCCGAUUCUGGCUACCUCGCGCCCUCCUCGAGCUCACUGCCACUCCCUACGGCUCCGCUCUGAGCUCCCGCUUCUCCUCUCCCUCUCCGUUAGCUCGCCCACGUUUCAUAGCCGCCGAUGCCACCGACGACCGAACACUCCGCCGCUCGCGCUUGUCACCAGUGUAGCCACGGUGACCCUUGGGUCACGUGCGAGCCACCAUCGCGCUCACCGCACCGCGUAGGCCCCGUCUAGCCGCUUGGUUUGCCCACAAACGCACCCAGCCCCGAUCCCGAUGACGACCGAAGUCCGGCGUCUGCCUCGCCGCUCGCCGUCGACGUUCCCGACCACCGCAGCCUCUGCCACCACCCCAGAUCGCCUCGCCGUCGUCUUCUCAUUCGAACGAGUCUAGCCGCGUCCGAUUUGAGCCACCGUAGCGCAAAUCCGGUGGCCUCCCGUGCGCGCCGCCGUGCGAUUUGGUCGCCGGCGUUGCUCCGGCCGCCGUGCUGACCUGGCGCCAACGUGGCCCUAUGGGGGCCACCCCAUUGAGGCUGCCAGUGGGCCCCACGGGCCCAAGUUGACUCGGUUGACCCAGUCAACUGCUGACUGGGCAACCCAGUGCCACUGACAUGCAGGCCCCACCGCUUAAUUAAACUAAUUAAAAUGUUUUAUAUUUAAAAAUAAUUAGUUAAGCUAAACAGUCACUGACAUGUGCGGCCCAGCUGCUAAUUAGCCAUGUUUAAUUAAAAUAACCCACUGUCAGUCCACUGUCGAUGACAGGUGGGACCCACUGGUCAGUUUGACCUGGUCAGCCGUCCUGGUGACCGCUGACGUCACAGUGACGUCAUGCUGAUGCAAUAUUCCUUUUAUGUUAAUAUUAAUAAUUCCAGAAAAUACCUUAACCUUUAGAAAUUCAUAGUAAUUAAACCGUAACUCCGAUGAAAAUGUUUUCUGUAUGAAAGUUGCUCAGAAAAAUCCAACGAAUCCGAAUACACGGUCCGUUCAUCUGUCACAUGCCCUUAGCUUGCUGAACAUGGAACAUUCCCCCUCCGGUCAUCUGACUGACAUAGGUCCUGAACCGGGAACACCUUCCCGGUUGAAUUCCCCCUUCACCUAUAUCGUGUAGCCAUACGUUAGGUCACACCCGGCACAUCAUAUUGCCACGUUAUGCUUUGUGAAGCUAUGUUUGCUUUAUAUUUACUGUUUCUUCCCCCUCUUCUCUCCAGUAGACCCCGAGACCGAUGUUGCCCCUAUGAUCGACUACGUCGACGACGACCCCCUCCUUGCCAGAGCAACCAGGCAAGCCCCCCCUUGAUCACCAGAUAUCGCCUAUUCUUCUCUAUACUGCUUGCAUUAGAGUAGUGUAGCAUGUUACUGCUUUCGGUUAAUCCUAUACUGAUGCAUAGCCUGUCAUUGUUGCUACAGUUGUUACCCUUACCUGCUAUCCUACUGCUUAGUAUAGGAUGCUAGUGUUCCAUCAGUGGCCCUACACUCUUGUCCGUCUGCCAUGCUAUACUACUGGGCCGUGAUCACUUCGGGAGGUGAUCACGGGUAUAUACUAUAUACUUUAUAUACAUGACACAUGUGGUGACUAAAGUUGGGUCGGCUCGUUGAGUACCCGCAAGUGAUUCUGGUGAGGGGGCUGAAAGGACAGGUGGCUCCAUCCCGGUAGAGGUGGGCCUGGGUUCCUGACGGCCCCCGACUGUUACUUUAUGGCGGAGCGACAGGGCAGGUUGAGACCACCUAGGAGAGAGGUGGGCCAGGCCCUGGUCGGCGUUCGCGGAUACUUAACACGCUUAACGAGAUCUUAGUAUUUGAUCUGAGUCUGGCCAUUUGGUCUAUACGCACUAACCAACUACGCGGGAACAGUUAUGGGCACUCGAUGUCGUGGUAUCAGCCGAAGCUCUUCGUGACGUCAGCGACGGAGCGGCGCGCGCCGGAUUGGACUGGAACGCCUGCUAGGCUAGGUCUGCUUCCGGCCGCGUAUGCAACGUGCAGGUGUGCAAUGAGCGAUGGGACCAGACCCCUGCGCGCAUAGGAUUUAGACCGGCGUGUUGACCUCUCUGUUGAGCCUAGGUGGGGCUGCGAUGUGUUGAUCUUCCGAGGCCAGGCAUGACCCAGAAAAGUGUGUCCGGCCAAAUGGGAUCGAGCGUGUUGGGUUAUGUGGUGCACCCCUCCAGGGAAGUUUAUCUAUUCGAAUAGCCGUGUCCCUCGGUAAAAGGAUGACCCGGAGUUGUACCUUGACCUUAUGACAACUAGAACCGGAUACUUAAUAAAACACACCCUUCCAAGUGCCAGAUAUAACCCGGUGAUCGCUCUCUAACAGGGCGACGAGGAGGGGAUCGCCGGGUAGGAUUAUGCUAUGCGAUGUUACUUGGAGGACUUCAAUCUACUCUCUUCUAAAUGCUGCAAGAUGAUGGCUGCCAGAAGCGUAGUCUUCGACAGGAUUAGCUAUCCCCCUCUUAUUUUGGCAUUCUGCAGUUUGGUCCAUCGAUAUGGCCCUUUACACAUAUACCCAUGCAUAUGUAGUGUAGCUCCUUGCUUGCGAGUACUUUGGAUGAAUACUCACGGUUGCUUUUCUCCCUCUGUUCCCCCUUUCCUUCUACCUGGUUGUCGCAACCAGAUGCUGGAGUCCAGGAGCUAGAGAUCCCGAGGAUGAUUCUACAUGGAGUUCGGCUUCGAGGAGUAGUUAGGAGGUCCCAGGUAGGAGGCCUUGCCUCUUUGAUCGUUGCUAAUUUUGUGCUAGCCUUCUUAAGGCAAACUUGUUUAACUUAUGUCUGUACUCAGAUAUUGUUGCUUCCGCUGACUCGUCUAUGAUCGAGCACUUGUACUCGAGGCCUCGAGGCCCCUGGCUUGUAUUAUGAUGUUUGUAUGACUUAUUUAUGUUUUAGAGUUGUGUUGUGAUAUCUUCCCGUGAGUCCCUGAUCUUGAUCGUACACAUUUGCAUGCAUGAUUAGUGUACGGUGAAAUCGGGGGCGUCACAUGGCUAGGCCAGCGAUGGGAGUACGGUGGGGCGGUGAGGCCUGCGCGGCAGCAGAGCUGGCCGCGGGGAGGAGGGAGCAGGCAGUCCCGCCGGCGCUUCUUUGAGCAGCUGGAGCAGGAAGAGCAGAGAUUGAAGAAGCACGACGGCCGUUGGAUGGCCAUCCAACAGUCACUGCUUGCGCGUCAACCUUUUUUUAGGAAAGCCUCAAAUCUGUGGUAAACAACAUACAGCCCAUCUGCCAUUAUUUCUAAUAAUUUACAGCCCAUUUGCUAAUUAUUAUGGUUUUUUUGAAGCCCAUAUUCUUUUUGUUAGCAUUACAGCCCAUAUUGUGUCCACGGUUAAAAAAUUAUACGAAAUUUGGCAUAUUUCGGUGCGGUCGGAACUGUUUUUAAUCCCAAAAUUUCGACUCACAUUCAAACUGAUUUUAAAAAUUAAUGUAUAUGAAUAUAAAAUCCAACAAAUUCUCCACGCAUAAAAUUAAUUUAAUUUAAAAUCUCGAAAUGAAAAAAAAGAUAUUUGAAACUAAUUGCCGGUUUGAUGUGUUUUAAAAAUGUACAACCUAUUUCUCAUUACUGAUGGGCUUCUCGGCCAGCCGAAUGAACGCUCUCCUCGUCUUGAAAGAUUUGCAGCCCAACAGGCCUGACAAAGCGACUUACUUGGCAAAUCACAAAAAAACUGGGCUGUGGCCGUGGACCCAGCUGUCAGCCUCUCCACGUACAGUACUCUUCCGAUGGAAGUCGUUCCUUGACCACGUUGACCACGCCGCACGGAGAGCACCACGGCGGUGGACGACGGCUAGGCCUAGGAAGGGGACGACGCGGAGCCGGGGAAGACGCGGCAGUGGAAGCCCGCGCGGAGAGGAGUACGAGGGUUCACUGGUUCGGCUGCGGUGUGAGGCUGCCGUCGCCGCAGGGCCUGGCCAGCGGUGGGAAUAGUAGGGGGCGGUGAGGCCUCCGCGGCAGCACAGCCGGCCACGGGAGGCAGGAGCAUGCGGCACGACCGGCGCUGCCUUGGGCGGCUGGAGCAAGAAGACCAGAGGUUGAAGAAGCACUACGGCCGUUGGAUGGACAUCGUACGGUCACUGGAGCUAGAAUCGUUUAUAUUGACUAAAGUUGACAAAGGCCCCCGUCCCAGUCAACUUAGUAGGCCCACAAGUCAACCUCCCACCAUGGUGGGUCCCAGCUAGCAGGGGGAGUAUUCAUUUUUUGUGUGCGUAAUAAGGAGGCACUUCCUUGCGUGCGAAGAUAUAGCUGGUGGGUCCGAACCGUCAGCGGCGGUAACUUUUUUUCAUGAAAUACAGAAGCCCUUUCCGUGGGUCUCUGAUGUCAGGUGGAGGAAUCAUUAUUUUGCGCGUAAUAAGCAGGCAUUUCCUUGCGUGCGGUCGUGGACCCAACUGUCGGCCUCUCCACGUACAGUCCACUUCAGAUGCAUGUCGGUCGUUGACCACGUUGACCAGGCCGCGCCGAGAGCACCAGGGCAGUGGACGGCGGUGAGGCCUAGGAAGGGAACGACACGGAGGCAGGGAAGACUCGGCAGUUGUUUCCCACGCGGAGGGGAGUACGACUGUACGAGGGUUUACUGGUUCGUCUGCCGUCGCCGGAGAAUAACAGCAGGUGUGGGUGAGUAAAGGGAUGGCUAGGCCAGCGAUGGGAGUACGGUGGGGCGGUGAGGCCUGCGCAGCAGCAGAGCCGGCCGCGGGGAGGAGGGAGUAGGCAGUCCCGUCGGCGCUUGUUUGAGUGGCUGGAGCAGGAAGUGCAGAGAUUGAAGAAGCACGACGGCCGUUGGAUGGCCAUCCAACAGUCACUGCUUGUGCGUCAACAUUUUUUUUAGGAAAGCCUCAAAUCUGUGGAAAACAGCAUACAUCCCAUCUGCCAUUAUUUCUAAUAAUUUACAUCCCAUUUGCUAAUUAUUAAGGUUUUUUUGGAGCCCAUAUUCUUUUUGUUAGCAUUACAGCCCAUAUUGUGGCCACGGUUAAAAAAUUAUACGAAAUUUUGCAUAUUUCGGUGCGGUCCGAACUGUUUUUGAUCCCGAAAUUUCGACUCACAUUCAAACUAAUUUUAAAAAUAAAUAUAUAUCAAUAUAAAAUCCAACAAAUUCUCCACGCAUAAACAUUAAUGUAAUUUAAAAUCUCGAAAUGAAAAAAAAAGAUAUUUGAAACUAAUUGCCGGUUUGAUGUGUUUUAAAAAUGUACAGCCCAUUUCUCAUUACUGAUGGGCCAUUUUCUCGGCCAGCCAAAUGAAAGCUCUCCUCGUCUUGAAAGAUUUGCAGCCCAACAGGCCUGACAAAGCGACUUACUUGGCAAAUCACAAAAAAACUGGGCUGUGGCCGUGGACCCAGCUGUCAGCCUCUCCACGUACAGUACUCUUCCGAUGGAAGUCGUUCCUUGACCACGUUGACCACGCCGCGCGGAGAGCACCACGGCGGUGGAUGACGGCGAGGCCUAGGAAGGGGACGACGCAGAGCCGGGGAAGACGCGGCAGUGGAAGCCCGCGCGGAGAGGAGUACGAGGGUUCACUGUUUCGGCUGCGGUGUGAGGCUGCCGUCGCCGCAGGGCCUGGCCAGCGGUGGGAAUAGUAGGGGGCGGUGAGGCCUCCGCGGCAGCACAGCCGGCCACGGGAGGCACGAGCAUGCGGCACGACCGGCGCUGCUUUGGGCGGCUGGAGCAAGAAGACCAGAGGUUGAAGAAGCACUACGGCCGUUGGAUGGACAUCGUACGGUCACUAGAGCUAGAAUCGUUCAUAUUGACUAAAGUUGACAAAGGCCCCCGUCCCAGUCAACUUAGUAGGCCCACAAGUCAGCCUCCCACCAUGGUGGGUCCCAGCUAGCAGGGGGAGUAUUCAUUUUUUUUGUGUAAUAAGGAGGCACUUCCUUGCGUGCGAAGAUAUAGCUGGUGGGUCCGAGCUGUCAGCGGCGAUAACGUUUUUUCGCGAAAUACAGAGGCCCUUUCGGUGGGUCCCUGAUGUCAGGUGGAGGAAUCAUUAUUUUGCGCGUAAUAAGGAGGCAUUUCCUUGCGUGCGGCCGUGGACCCAGUUGUCGGCCUCUCCACGUACAGUCCACUUCAGAUGCAUGUCGGUCGUUGACCACGUUGACCAGGCCGCGCCGAGAGCACCAGGGCGGUGGACGACAGCGAUGCCUAGGAAGGGAACGACACGGAGGCAGGGAAGACUCGGCAGUUGUUUCCCACGCGGAGGGGAGUACGACUGUACUAGGGAUUACUGGUUCGUCUGUCGUCGCCGGAGAAUAACAACAGGUGUGGGUGAGUAGAGGGAUGGCUAGGCCAGCGAUGGGAGUACGGUGGGGCGGUGAGGCCUGCGCGGCAGCAGAGCCGGCCGCGGGGAGGAGGGAGCAGGCAGUCUCGCCGGCGCUUGUUUGAGCGGCUGCAGUAGGAAGAGCAGAGAUUGAAGAAGCACGACGGCCGUUGGAUGGCCAUCCAACAGUCACUGCUUGUGCGUCAACCAUUAUUUAGGAAAGCCUCAAAUCUGUGAAAAACAGCAUACAACCAUCUGCCAUUAUUUCUAACAAUUUACAGUCCAUUUGCUAAUUAUUAAGGUUUUUUUGGAGCCCAUAUUCUUUUUGUUAGCAUUACAGCCCAUAUUGUGCCCACGGUUAAAAAAUUAUACGAAAUUUUGCAUAUUUCGGUGCGGUCCGAACUGUUUUUAAUCCCGAAAUUUCGACUCACAUUCAAACUGAUUUAAAAAUUAAUGUAUAUCAAUAUAAAAUCCAACAAAUUCUCCACGCAUAAAAAUUAAUGUAAUUUAAAAUCUCGAAAUAAAAAAAAUAUAUUUGAAACUAAUUGCCGGUUUGAUGUGUUUUAAAAAUGUACAACCCAUUUCUCAUUACUGAUGGGCCAUUUUCUCGGCCAGCCGAGUGAAAGCUCUCCUCGUCUUGAAAGAUUUGCAGCCCAACAGGCCUGACAAAGCGACUUACUUGGCAAAUCACAAAAAAACUGGGCUGUGGCCGUGGACCCAGCUGUCAGCCUCUCCACGUACAGUACUCUUCCGAUGGAAGUCGUUCCUUGACCACGUUGACCACGCCGCGCGGAGAGCACCACGGCGGUGGACGAUGGCGAGGCCUAGGAAGGGGACGACGCGGAGCCGGGGAAGACGUGGCAGUGGAAGCCCGCGCGGAGAGGAGUACGAGGGUUAACUGGUUCGGCUGCGGUGUGAGGCUGCCGUCGCCGCAGGGCCUGGCCAGCGGUGGGAAUAGUAGGGGGCGGUGAGGCCUCGCAGCAGCACAACCGGCCACGGGAGGCAGGAGCAUGCGGCACAACGGGCGCUGCUUUGGGUGGCUGGAGCAAGAAGACCAGAGGUUGAAGAAGCACUACGGCCGUUGGAUGGACAUCGUACGGUCACUGGAGCUAGAAUCGUUUAUAUUGACUAAAGUUGACAAAGGCCCCCGUCCCAGUCAACUUAGUAGGCCCACAAGUCAGCCUCCCACCACGGUGGGUCCAAGCUAGUAGGGGGAGUAUUCAUUUUUUUUGUGCGUAAUAAGGAGACACUUCCUUGCGUGCGAAGAUAUAGCUGGUGGGUCCGAGCUGUCAGCGGCGGUAACGUUUUUUUCGCGAAAUACAGAGGCCCUUUCGGUGGGUCCCUGAUGUCAGGUGGAGGAAUCAUUAUUUUGCGCGUAGUAAGGAGGCAUUUCCUUGCGUGCGGUCGUGGACCCAGCUGUCGGCCUCUCCAUGUACAGUCCACUUCAGAUGCAUGUCAGUCGUUGACCACGUUGACCAGCCGCGCCGAGUGCACCAGGGCGGUGGACGACGGCGAGGCCUAGGAAGGGAACGACACGGAGGCAGGGAAGACUCGGCAGUUGUUUCCCACACGGAGGGGAGUACGACUGUAUGAGGGCUUACUGGUUCGUCUGCCGUCGCCGGAGAAUAACAGCAGGUGUGGGUGAGUAGAGGGAUGGCUAGGCCAGCGAUGGGAGUACGGUGGGGCGGUGAGGCCUGCGCGGCAGCAGAGCCGGCCGCGGGGAGGAGGGAGCAGGUAGUCCCGCCGGCGCUUGUUUGAGCGGCUGGAGCAGGAAGAGCAGAGAUUGAAGAAGCACGACGGCCGUUGGAUGGCCAUCCAACAGUCACUGCUUGUGCGUCAACCUUCUUUUUAGGAAAGCCUCAAAUCUGUGGAAAACAGCAUACAGCCCAUCUGCCAUUAUUUCUAAUAAUUUACAGCCCAUUUGCUAAUUAUUAAGGUUUUUUUGGAGCCCAUAUUCUUUUUGUUAGCAUUAUAGCCCAUAUUGUGGCCACGGUUAAAAAAUUAUACGAAAUUUUGCAUAUUUCGGUGCGGUCCGAACUGUUUUUAAUCCCGAAAUUUCGACUCACAUUCAAACUGAUUUUAAAAAUAAAUGUAUAUCAAUAUAAAAUCCAACAAAUUCUCCACGCAUAAAAAUUAAUUUAAUUUAAAAUCUCGAAAUGAAAAAAAGAUAUUUGAAACUAAUUGCCGGUUUGAUGUGUUUUAAAAAUAUACAGCCCAUUUCUCAUUACUGAUGGGACAUUUUCUCGGCCAGCCGAAUGAAAGCUCUCCUCGUCUUGAAAGAUUUGCAGCCCAACAGGCCUGACAAAGCGACUUACUUGGCAAAUCACAAAAAACUGGGCUCUGGCCGUGGACCCAGCUGUCAGCCUCUCCACGUACAGUACUCUUCCGAUGGAAGUCGUUCCUUGACCACGUUGACCACGCCGCGCGGAGAGCACCAUGGCGGUGGACGACGGCGAGGCCUAGGAAGGGGACGACGCGGAGCCGGGGAAGACGCGGCAGUGGAAGCCCGCACGGAGAGGAGACGAGGGUUCACUGGUUCGGCUGCGGUGUGAGGCUGCCGUCGCCACAGGGCCUGGCCAGUGGUGGGAAUAGUAGGGGGCGGUGAGGCCUCCGUGGCAGCACAGCCGGCCACGGGAGGCAGGAGCAUGCGGCACGACCGGCGCUGCUUUGGGCGGCUGGAGCAAGAAGACCAGAGGUUGAAGACGCACUACGGCCGUUGGAUGGACAUCGUACGGUCACUAGAGCUAGAAUCGUUCAUAUUGACUAAAGUUGACAAAGGCCCCCGUCCCAGUCAACUUAGUAGGCCCACAAGUCAACGAGGGUUUAACUUUGAAAGAUGGUCGUUGGAUGAGGCGAAUCCGAUGGUCCAAAGAUGGCAAAUUUGAGCACUACUGGCCGUUGGAUAUCAUCUAGAUUCCACCAGAUUUCGACACAUGUAUAAUCUAGAAGACUCCAUGGUUGAACUUAAGCAUAAUGCACAAACAUCAAAACACAAGCACUUCUUAUUUGUUCUAGAAUCUUCCGUAUCAGAAUUGCCCAAAUGUUUUUCUACAUGAUUUGCCAUUAUUUAUUUUUACUUUAUGUCUUACGACGCACAAUUCCAUGAAUCUUAAAAGAGAUUAGCUUUCUUAUAAAAACUAGAUGAUGUUGAAUGAAAUGAACUAUAAGAAUUAACCGAGCAUCUACAUCAUGCAUAUAUGACUCAAAGCUUGCAUGCUAUAAUGUGGUAUUUAUUCAUAAUUUGGUUGCCAAAUCUCAUGCGUGCAAUGCACGUGUACCUUACUCUAGUCUAAAUGGUGUUUGUGUGUGUGUUGUGCGUGUUGAGGUGCAAAUUGUCUUUUUUUGGGUACACGUUAAGCUUGUUCUUCCGAAAUUUCAAGCCGCGCCUUGUUAUUGCGAAAAUUCAAGCUAGCGUCUCUGUCUAUCGUGCUGCGAAACUCCCGCCUCUUCAACCCGCGCCUUGUUAGCCCGAAAUAUUUAAGAUAUAUCUUCGUGUCGUUGUGCUCCGACAACUCCCUCCAUCUCGACCCGCUCCUUGCUAUUCCGAAACUACAACGCGCGCGAAAACUCCCACCUCCUGUGAAAUCCCGACACGCGAAAUGCCCGGGGUACCCCUGAACCGAAAGAACCGCCUCAAAUCGGUGGGGGUACUUUCGUAACUUACCCCACAUUUCGAACAAGCGCGUCUCUAAGCCGUGGUUCCCCACUACCAUCCCAUCCGCCCACCCAUUCAUACACCGAGGCCGCGAAAACCCGCGACGAAACCCCACACCCUGCUCCGUCCGGCACCCAGCCGGAGCCUCUUCCCCGAUGACGUCGUCCACAGCAACACCUCGACGUCCCUCAUCCACCGUACCGGAUGAGGAUCCGUCGUCGAUCUCAUCAUCCCGCCGGCUCAGCCACCCCGUCCUCCACCUCCAAGGAGCUGCCCCGACAUUCCCCUCGUCUUUCGCGCCACCUCCAUUCCCACACCGCCAUCUUCACCUGCACCACCGGAAGAGCAUCAUCAUCACCGUUUCCUCGGAUGAAGCUGCGGCCUAAUCGGCGCCACCAAAGAGGUUGUACACUAAUCGCCGCAUUUUCUUCUUGAUUCGAUCUCACGGUGCUGCCGGUGCUCAGUCCCGAGCCGACACGGUGCGGCUCCAUCCACGGCGGUGUCGCCGGCCACUUCCUCCAUGGCGUCGCUCCCUCGGCGGCGACGUCCACAUCAGUAGGAGAUGCUGCUGCUUUAGCUCUCGCUCGCGCUGCUUCUCUGCUCUUGCUCUCGGUCCCCUGCCUGGUCUGCUCUUGCUAUUGCUCUUGCUCGCGCUACUGCUCUCGCUCUUUCUCUUGCUUGCGAUGUUGCUCCGAUUUAGCUACACUUCAGUCGACUGAAUCGACUUUUGGGUUAGUCGAUUUUCAGGGGGUGGGGGGGCUCGCCGGGGUGAAGGAAGAACCAGCCGCAGCNNNNNNNNNNNNNNNNNNNNNNNNNNNNNNNNNNNNNNNNNNNNNNNNNNNNNNNNNNNNNNNNNNNNNNNNNNNNNNNNNNNNNNNNNNNNNNNNNNNNNNNNNNNNNNNNNNNNNNNNNNNNNNNNNNNNNNNNNNNNNNNNNNNNNNNNNNNNNNNNNNNNNNNNNNNNNNNNNNNNNNNNNNNNNNNNNNNNNNNNNNNNNNNNNNNNNNNNNNNNNNNNNNNNNNNNNNNNNNNNNNNNNNNNNNNNNNNNNNNNNNNNNNNNNNNNNNNNNNNNNNNNNNNNNNNNNNNNNNNNNNNNNNNNNNNNNNNNNNNNNNNNNNNNNNNNNNNNNNNNNNNNNNNNNNNNNNNNNNNNNNNNNNNNNNNNNNNNNNNNNNNNNNNNNNNNNNNNNNNNNNNNAGGGUUCAGGAUGGGGGCGGUGGUCGCCGGCGGUGGCGGGGCGUUGGCGGGGCGGUGGCGUGGGGAUCGCCAAAGAAAGCUCGGCACGGGGGGGCCUAGAGGGAUGGCCGGGGCGGCAGCGGACCGGCGGUGGGGAGUGUUUUCGGGGCGGGCGGGGCGGCGCACCGCCGGCCGCGGGCGGCGGGGGGCUGCUGUUUGGCCGGUGGUGGCUGGCGGCUUAGGGGGUAGAUGUUGAAGAUGAACCGCAGGCCCUUGAUUUCGUAUCCAACGGCUGCAAAAUCGACUCACCAGAGAUGAAAAAGUCAGUCGACCGACGUGUAGCCUCGCCUUGCUAGUGCAUUCAGUUUCGACAGCAAAAUUCAGUUUCGACAGCAAAAUUUAGUUUCGACAGUUAAGUUCAGUUUUGACAGUUAAGUUCAGUUUCGACAGUUAAAUUCAGUUUCGACAGUUAAGUUCAGAGAUGAGCGGCUGAUGUAUUUUACAUCUAGCACUUUGUGGUUAUGUAUUUUACGUCAUGUAUUGGAGAUGCUAUUAGAAUUCCACUCAGGUUAACAUUGUUCGUUGUCUCUCUUGUCCUGCUUCAGCCUCGGCGUCGUACAACUCACCGGAGCUGCUCCAAUGACGAAACCCUCCAUCACAGCGGAGCAGUACCUCAGGCUCCGUCUCCAGACGCCUAAGAUCUUCUUCCCCUCCUCCGACAGCCAAGUCAGCCGGAGCAUCCUCACCGGCCAACCCAAUCACGCUGAGAUCGACAUGGCUUCGCCAAAGAGGUUGUACACUUGUUGCAUCUCUUUUUUACUCUACAUGUUAUAUAUAUUGUCCACUGAGCACUCGUAGUAACGGGAAAUACGAUUAUUUUAUCCUACUAUAUGACAAGCAGUGAGGUACCAGGCAACAUAGCUAUCCGUGAUGGACUCUCUUGAACGCCAUCAUUAUUUAUCUCUGCGCGUUUGAGCUGUGCAUUUGUCAAUGGGCCUAGGAGUUGAGCUAGUAUGGCAGUGGCCUGGGUCCAAAGUAAUAGAAGUAGCACAAAAACAUUUUUUUAGUGUAGGAUUUUCCUUGCUCAAGCCUGCCUACUAGAAUCGCCAGUGCUUGAAAGGAAAAGUGAAUGAAAAACAUCGGAAUUGGAAAGUUUCCUAUGGUACUACUUUUCCUGAAUUUGGUGCAAAGGAAUGGAGCAAAGGAAAACUGUAGGAUUUGUUCCUUUAGUGUCUCCUUGAAAGAAAAACCGUAGGAAUUCUAAUUUCCACUUCUCCUCCUUUUCAUAUUCCUAUUCAUCAAGCACAAGACUAAGAGAUAGUAGCAUAAUAGCAUUAUAACCGUACAUUUUCUUGUGGUUUGACUUAAUGUAACCAUGCUUUUUUGCAUCCUAUGAUCUUCCAAUUGUUGUGAAUCAAACACCCAGAUUGGCAGAAAUCCUGUGUUUUUAAAUUCUCUGUUUUGCACGUGCAUUCCUAUCCUAUUCCUGUCGAUUUCCUAUCCCUGCAUUGUUAGAAUCCUCAAAUUCAAACAAGCCCUUACUCAAUUACUUCUGUUACAGAUAUGUGUCAAAGAAAACCUUGUGUGGUUUGUCCUGCUCCUGCGGCGCUGUGUUCCACCCCAGCUCAGCUGCUCCAACGACGGAAGGGUUCACCACAGCAGGGAUCCGCUCUCCAGACUGUCUUUCGCCGCCUCAGAUCUUCUUCCCCGCCGCCGGCAGCAACGACAACUGCAUUACCAUCAUCAACUGAGCAGAUGACCUUGAGGACUACACGGGUCCGCAAGAGAGGUGGCACUCUUCCGUGUCUGCUUACGUUAUGCAUCGCUUAAUAUGAUGACAUGCUACAUUAUCAUCGUGUUCACCUAUUAGACUCCGAGUCAGGUCCAAACUAAUGCUGAAACUUGAGUUUUUAAAUGGUUGUGGGGUACAUAUUGGGGCAGCAAUCAGUACUAUCUGUCUACUAUCUGGUUAAUCUCCGGUGUCUACUAUGAGUUUCAUGUUGGGUGCAAACAAACAUUAAAGGAGCCAUUAUCUGUAUUUUUUAACUAAAGCUAUUAUCUGCUUGCUAUCAUUGGUUUUGGGUCUAUCCACAGUUUGCUACCAUCACUCUGGAUUUGUGCAUGCACUCCUUACAUAAUCUCACUAUGUUUUAUUCCUAUGCAUGCCAGUUAUUGUACACAAUGGAACUGAUCAUGUAGAGCAAAAGAGACGAGGCUUGCGUGGCAAUAAAAUUUCAUGCAGACGUCGUUCCAUGGUGGGCGCAAAGGCAGCCCCCCUCCACCCAUUUCAGAUCGUAAUCAAGAGGAAGAUAACUGUUCUGAGUGGGAUUCAGAAGGAGAAGACCACUCCUAUUUACCCCAUGAGGUCUUCGCUCUAACUUGGCAUGCUGAUGUUGGUAAUAUCAUGCAUAUGGUGCCUUGCAUUGCUUACUGUAUACAUUAAAGAUGUCAUCUGCUUAGUUUAGACAUGCUUUGUGUCAAUGCCAUCUGUUUAGUUUCUUUAUCGUAUAUGUGAAUCAUGCAAUGCCAUCUUGUCUAGCCAGGCAUCAUAUAUGUGAAUUUUGCAAUGCCACCCUGGUUAGCCAGUCAUCUUAUAUGUGAAUUAUAUCAUGCCAUCAGUUUUUUAUUACGUGUUAAAUUUGUCAACAAUUUUAGUACAUUCAAUUACUCUUCCUAUGCAUCAGCCAUUCGGCACGGUCAUGGAAAAAUCUGGAGUGAAAACAGGGUCUUCAGAGCAGACAAUGCUAUCUGACGAAGCGCAUGUCUUGCUGAUUACCGAUAGCUCCUCAGAGGAGUAUUCAGAGACAGAUGACCAGUCAUNNNNNNNNNNCAUCUUGUUGCAAGACAUUAUAUAUGUGAAUUAUGCAAUGUUAUCUUGUUGCAAGGCAUUAUGUAUGUGAAUUAUGCAAUGCCAUGCUGUUUAGGCAAGCGUCAUAUAUGUGAAUUAUAUCAUGCCGUCCUUUUUUUGUAUUUCUCAUUGCUUUUGUCGACAAUGUUUGUAUAUUCAACUGCUCUUCCUGUGCAUCAGCCAUUUGAAUUGGUGAUGGAGAAAUCUAGAGUGAAAACAAGGUCUUCAGAGCAGACAAUGCUACCUGCUGAAGCAGAUAUCUUGCUGGUUACAGAUAGCUCUUCAGAGGAGGAUUCAGAGGCAGAUGACCAGUCCUAUUAUCCCCCUGAGGUGUAUGCUCAAACUUGGCAGGGUUAUAUUACUCAUAUAAUGCAUAUGUUGUAUUGCAAUGCUUAGUUUUCACAUCAUAUACACAAUAUUGAAUGCCAUCUCCUUAGUUGACACAUCAUAUAUGCGAUUGCCCUCUGCUCACUUCCUUAGUAUAUAAAUCAUAUAUUUGAAUUAUGUCAUGCCAUGAUGUUUACAUAGACAGCAUGUAUCUGAAUUAUGGCAUGCCAACCCAUUUUCUAAAGACAUAAUAUAGUUAUAUCAUCUCAUCCUGUUUACAUAGUCAUCAUAUUUUAAAUUAUGUCAUUCUAUCCGUGAAUUAUAUCAUGCCAUCAUGUUUCCAUCGACGGCAUGUUUGUGAUUUAUGGCAUGCCAACUACUUUAAUAGACACAUCGUAUAGUUAUAUCAUGUCAUCCUGUUUACAUAGUCAUCAUAUUUUGAAGUAUGUCAUUCUAUCCUGUUUAGUUAGCCAUCAUACAUGUGAAAUUGUGUCAUGCUAUCCUGUUUAAUUAGCCAUCAUAUAUGUGAAAUUAUGUCCUGCUAUUCUGUUUGCUUAGACAACAUAAAUGUGAAUUAUUUCAUGCCCUGUUUUCUUCCCUACUAUCCAUUGCACCUGUCUAUCUUACAAUGUCUGUACAUUUAAUUACUUUUCUUGUUUAUCAGCCAUUUCAAUUGGAGGGAGUGAUGGCAGUAUCUGUGGGAGUAAAAACACGGUCUUCAGAAAAGAUCGUGCUACCUGUCGAUGCAGAUAGAACCACGGUUGUACUUGCCCAAGAACCAGCCCCACCACACAUAACCCACACUCAUGCAGAUUGUACCCCUACCCAGUUGGACAGAGAACCAGCUACACCCCUUCUAACCCCAACCCCAGCAGAUAGACACCCAGUUCCCGUUGACACAACACCGUCUCCACCACAGAGCACCCAAACACGAGCAGUUAGUAAGGCAACUGCAGUGCCCAAAUCACGAGGACCACCACUCCGAACCCGAAGUCAACUCUUAAAGCAGAAGAAGAAUUGUUCUCAGGUCAGGUUCCGUAGCUAUGGUUCAUACUACUUUGCUCUUGCAUCACUGUAUUUACUGAUACCAACUAAUUUCAAAUUUCAAGGAUGCAAUUGAAACUCCAAUGGCGCAACAGGUAUGUUUUAAACCUGUUUCUUCAACGUGUUUGGCUGUUUGCUGUUGUAACUUGCUCCAUGUUGAUUUCAGUUUCAAUUGAAUAAACAGUUAUGUUCUCAUGCCAUGCACAUUACAAGUGUUGUUAUUGCUGUGUAGUUUCCCACACUUAUAUUCUGUCUAUGCUGCUUUGUCUUAAAUAGAUAUGAUUCGAAAUGUAUCUAUCUUGAUUUGGCAACAUAAACUAGAAUGAUAUAGACCAUACAGUGACCAUACUACAUGGAUAUAUGUUUGUUUCAUGCUAUUAUCCUGUCCACCUUACUACUGAACUGGUUUACCAAAAUGAGUUUCAUAUACUACAUUGUAAACCUGAGAUGUGUUUGUUUGUUUCUCUUUUAGAACGCAGAUAAAAUAUUGGAGAAGAGUACCCUGUUAUGCAAUGGUAAAGGAAGUAAUGCAGAUAAGGUUCCAGAUAGUGAGACAUCCCUGUUGGUCUCCAAGAAAUCUGAUAAAAACUAUAUUGAAGACACUGAGACAACCCCAAAGUCCUGUCUUGAUGUAGUGUUCGAGUUACUGGCUACCACUGCUGGCACCAGCUCUUUGAACUCGUUGCCUGAAUCAGUUCGGCUUCUUGAGUCUCAACUUCAAGUUGAAAGACAUCGAUCAGAUGUUAUGCGACAGGAAGCCGAAGGACUGAGGAAGUCCCUGCAGAAUUCAGAUGCAUACUUUCUGGUGCAACAGCAAGCGCUGCAGGACUUAAGCGCCAAACAAGAGAAAGUUAAUAAGCUUUCUAAGCAUCUUGCCAGCAUUGUGGGUACCCAGGAUAUUGUUUCUUGAGCUCUUCUAAAGUGGUUUCAGUUCUGGACUUGUUUUGCUGCGGCGUUUAUAUGCUGUUGUGUUCCCUAUAUUUGUACUGGUGGCGAACUUUGAUGCCCAGUGGAUGUAAUAUGUGUAAUAGCCGUGAUAGCCUAGUGUAAGUUGCUUGCUUAUUUAUUUCCUUGUUGUCUUGUUUAUUUGUUUGCUUGUAGUCAGUGCAGUUCUUUUUCUGCGGUUUGCUAGUGGCUGCAAUAACCUAUUUUUUAAAACUAGGCCACAAUAACCAUGGGCUAAUAUUUACUGUAGUGACACUGGGCCUCCUAGGGGCCGUAGAAACAGUGGGCCUUCUACGGGACGUAGAAACAGUGGGCCUUCUACGGGCCGUAGAAACAGUGGGCCUUCUACGGGCCGUAGAAACAAUGGGCCUUCUAUGGGCCGUAUCAUCAAUGGGCCUUAUACGGGCCGUAUGAUCGAUUGGCCAAACAUGGGCCAAACAUGCAGCAUUCUGGCCGUAAACGGGCUAGAGUUGGAAUCGUCCAUUCAUGGGCCGACCAUAAGGGGCCAUCGUUAAUAGGCCGUAUUUGAUGACGCUAUGAAAACGGCCCAACGUAUUAACGGACCACAAACGGGCCGACUGUAACCACGGGCUGAAUUUGGCCCACAAGCAGAAAAUGACAGUAACGGGCCAUAAGUAAACGAAUGCUGGAAAAUAGCCCAAGAAUAAAUGGGCUCUGAGAAGGCCGAAAGAUAACAUGGGCUGGAAACGGCCCAACGGAAUAACAGGCCGUUAAUGGGUAUAAAGUGAUACACUGUUCUUUACGGGCUAGUUUCACCACAGGUCGUUAAUGGGUGUAAAGUGAUACACUGUUCAUUACGGGCCAGUUUCACCACGGGCGUUAAUAGGCCAAGAGUUACAUAGGGCCUCAUAUGGGCCGAAAGACGUCAUGGGCCAUACAUGGGCCAGAAGUGAAAACGGGCUGGAAUCAUAUUGGAUGGCCCAGAUGACGCUACUGGGCCUAAUUCGAAUAGGGCGUAACGGGCCUUGGGUUAGCGGGCUGUAAAUGGGCUAUGUGCGAACAGGCCGUUAACAGGCUUUCCAUGGGCCGGCCCGCCACCUUUUGACCAAGUCAAACGGGCCGGCCUUUUCACAGGAAUGGGCCUCUGUUGGGCCGUGCCACGUGUCGACGUAUCAUAGGCGCCUUCUGUCCAAUGAGUGGAUGACAUCUGUCCCAGCGAUGAGCCGACACGUGUUUCCUCCAGCCAAUGAUGAUUUUACACAUGGAAAAUCCCCAUUAUUCGGGGCUGUUAACGGGUUAUCGAAUCCAAAACCCGACCCGAUAGCUUAACGGCGUUCCGUUACGGUGGAUGCCACGUGUCGGUCACCCUUGACGAAAGCACUUCUGUGACGCGCGAUUUAUCGUCAUGGAAGUGGACACUUUCGUGAUGAUAAUUUUGGUAAUGUCAUGGAACACUUCUACGACAGCACAGGUAUGACUAUCUUGAUUCUAUCAUAAAUUUGUCAUGGAUGUACAUGCAUGACAAAAAACGCGACCUACUGUGACAAACACGUAUCAUCACGGAAGUGUAUUUUUUUGUAGUGCUUGUAAGCGAGCCAGGCAAACAAUCUACAUCAAAGGGGGGCACGACAAUCCCAUACGACCGUCCUACUAGAUCUUUCUCCCGUCCAACAUACCUUCUAUUCUAAGCCGAUUACACAGAGAAUUUUCCUGGUGGCUCCCAGGCCCAUCUAGCUUCACCUUCCACCUCCGGCAGUAAGGUAAUUAAUGACCAAAACACAUUCCCAAAGGGCAAGGCACUGUACCAGUUCGUCAUAGUUCAUGUCAGGCCCAACAUCCUGAGACCACGCACUAUUGGUAAGGCCUUCCAGAACCAUCCGUGACGCUUGCACACGCGGUCUGACCCGAUCAUAAAUUGCUGACGCGAUGUCUUGGGCUAGCAUGCCAUCGAUCCAUUGAUCAUCCCAGAAGAAGGAGGAUCCACCAUUCCCCACGUGAACAAACACUACAGAUCUGUAAAUAUGUCAAAUUCCUUCCAAGGCCUCGCCCCAUAAACACGCUACAACCAGAGUCAGCUCACCUUCAACGCCAUGUUCAACCAUCUCAAGUUCGGUAGCCCAAUCCCGCCAGACCCCUUGUGCAUGCAGACUACCUCCCACGUGACAGCGCAGCUCCAGCCAUUGGCCUAAGCAAUUCCUACCCACUACCCAGAGAGAGAAUUCCUUAUUUGGCCCUUUAAGUCUGCUUACCUUUUUUGGCGCUAGUAAAAAACCUUACCUUUUUGACAUUCAAACUUCAUUUUGUUCCUUCGAUGACAUUUCUGUCAGUUUUGGCCACUAAUACCGUCAAGGGCAACCUGAAAAGUCUUUUUUACCCCUGCUUGAGCUCACUAGGGAAAACACCGAAAACUCUAUUACCAAACUUCCUCCCGUUUCCCAACCCCGAGUUGAUGUUGCUGCUGCAGAUGUGGCGGCCUGGCGGGGAGAAACUAGACGAAUCCUCAGCCUCGGUGUUGGUUUUAGAUCGCUGGAAUGCGUACGUGCAAAGCUAGGCUAAAACAAGCACAUAGGCAGCUUCAUUGAUUCUUGUAUGCGCUUGAUUGAUUUCCUAGCAGUAGCACAAGCACUUACACGUGCACGCGAAUGCUUGGACUAGCUUCAACUGGAUCGAUUGUCUCGGGCUCGGCCUGCCUCAGAGCAUGUCUAGUAGAACCCUCAAACCCUCAAACCCUUAAAGCAGUUUUAAGGGUUGAGAAGUGCCAGCUUUUGGCACUUUUAAGGGUUGAAAAACAGGGGCAAAGACUAGAACCCUCAAACCCAACCCUUAAACUGCUUUAAGGGUUGAGUUUGAGGGUUCUAGUCUUUGCCUCAACCCCAACCUUUAAAUCUAUCAUUUGACAUCUCACAAUUUAUGACUACAAGAACACAAUCAACCUCUAAACAUACUACCAAAUGACAAUCAUUGAUGCAGGGUUUAAUAGUUUACAUCACAAAAUCAUCAUCUUCCCCCUCUCAUCGGCACCAUCACCAAAAAGUUGCACCUCGGCGCCAUCUCCUAGACCACAUGCGGGCUCCAUCAAGCAUCUCCAUAGGCGCCGGUGGAGUCGUCCACACCGCCAUCGCCACAACUACUCAUCGGAGUGUCACCUCGAAAAGUAGAGGAUGCACCACGGAACAUCCUCUUCCUCUCCGCGAUGUCCUCCUUGUAGUCCUUCCACCAUUGCAAUUGGUCUUCAUCCAUGUCCUUGUUGGACAUCAUCAUGUGCUCCUUCUCUUCCACCAUGAGUUCUUUCCAUACCUUUGCCUCUUUGAGCUUGAUCAUCCUCUCCUCCAAGUCUGCCUUGCGCUUUGCUUCUUCACGCUUUGCUUCAACUUGUGCAAGCUUGACCUCUUUCUUCUUCUCGGUGAUAAGAAGCUUCGUCCCCAAUGUCUUCGUUGUCAAUUCCUAUCUUUCCUUCAUCAUGUGCUCCAUCUUCUCCCUUAGGCUUGAUGCCUCUCCUUCCAUCUUCACCCUUAGCUUGCCCUUCUUGGUUCCAUCGGGCUUGCCCAAGUUCCUCUCCUCCUCAUCUUCACUAUCAUCCAUCCUAAGCAUUGCUGACUUCUUGGGUGCGGUCUCUUGAUCCCUAAACUUCCACUUGUCAAAGGUUUGAAGAAUUGCCAAAGCAUGCUUAAAUGGGAAUGGCUUGCCCUUGGAAGCGGCCAUCACCUUGUACUUCAUGUCGGCAAUUGUCUCCUAUCAACCACACAUAAUCACAUAAGAACCCACCAAUAGCAUAGUACACACACAUAAUCAAAAUAGUGAAGAGAUAUGUGUUGGAAAUAUGCCCCAGAGGCAAUAGUAAAAUUGUUAUUAUUGUAUUUCCUUGUUCAUGAUAAUUGUCUAUUGUUCAUGCUAUAAUUGUAUUAACUGGAAACCGUAUUACAUGUGUGAAUACAUAGACCACAACAUGUCCCUAGUAAGCCUCUAGUUGACUAGCUCGUUGAUCAAUAGAUGGUUAUGGUUUCCUGACCAUGGACAUUGGAUGUCAUUGAUAACGGGAUCACAUCAUUAGGAGAAUGAUGUGAUGGACAAGACCCAAUCCUAAGCAUAGCACAAGAUCGUGUAGUUCGUUUGCUAAGAGCAUUUCAAAUGUCAAGUAUCGUUUCCCUAGACCAUGAGAUUGUGCAACUCCCGGAUACCGUAGGAAUGCUUUGGGUGUACCAAACGUCACAACGUAACUGGGUGGCUAUAAAGGUGCACUACAGGUAUCUCCGAAAGUGUCUGUUGGGUUGGCGUGAAUCGAGACUGGGAUUUUUCACUCCGUAUGACGGAGAGGUAUCUCUGGGCCCACUCGGUAAUGCAUCAUCAUAAUGAGCUCAAUGUGACUAGUAGCCACGGGAUCAUGCGUUACGGAACGAGUAAAGAGACUUGCCGGUAACGAGAUUGAACGAGGUAUUGGGAUACCGACGAUCGAAUAUUGGGCAAGUAACAUACCGAUAGACAAAGGGAAUUGUAUACGGGAUUGAUUGAACCCUCGACAUCGUGCUUCAUCCGAUGAGAUCAUCGUGGAACAGGUGGGAGCCAAUAUGGGUAUCCAGAUCCCGCUAUUGGUUAUUGGCCGGAGAGGUGUCUCAGUCAUGUCUGCAUGGUUCCCGAACCCGUAGGGUCUACACACUUAAGGUUUGGUGAAGCUAGAGUUGUUAUGGGAAAUAGUAUGUGGUUACCGAAGGUUGUUCGGAGUCCCGGAUGAGAUCCCGGACAUGACGAGGAGCUCCGGAAUUGUCCGGAGGUGAAGAUCGGUAUAUUGGACGAAGGGUAUUGGAGUCCGGAAUUGUUCCGGGGGUACCAGGCUAUGGCCAGCAUGUCCGAAAGGGGUUUCGGAGGCCCCGGCAAGCGUUGGGGGGGCCUUAUGGGCCAAGGGGAAGGGGCAAACCAGCCCACUAAGGGGCUGUGCGCCCCUCCCAACCCCUCUCAUGUAACCAGGAGAGGUGGGGGCGCCACCCCUAGGGUAGCCGCCCCUCCCGGCUUGGGGGGCAAGUUUCCUAGGGGGUGGGGGUGCCCAAACCCAUCUAGGAUUUCCCCUGGUCGCCGCCUCCUCCUCUAGAUCCAUCUAGAGGGGCCGACCCCCUCUCCCCUUCCCCCUAUAUAUAUUGAGGGGGUGGGAGGGCAGCCACACCCUUCCCUUGGCGCAGUCCUCUCCUCCUCCAACUCCUCCUCCUCCUCCGUAGUGCUUAGCGAAGCUCUGCCGGAGAACCACGAGCUCCAUUGCCACCACGCCGUCGUGCUGCUGGAGUUCUCCCUCAACUUCUCCUUUCCCCUUGCUGGAUCAAGAAGGAGGAGGCGUCCCCGGGCUGUACGUGUGUUAAACGCGGAGGCUCCGUCCGUUCGGCGCUAGAUCGGAUCCUCCGCGAGUUGAAUCGCCGCGAGUACGACUCCAUCAACGGCGUUCUUGUAACGCUUCCGCUUAGCGAUCUUCAAGGGUAUGAAGAUGCACUCUCUCUCUCUCGUUGCUAGCAUCUCCUAGAUUGAUCUUGGUGACACGUAGGAAAAUUUUGAAUUAUUGCUACGUUACCCAACAGUGGCAUCAUGAGCUAGGUCUAUGCGUAGAUUCUAUGCACGAGUAGAACACAAAGUAGUUGUGGGCGAUGAUUUGUUCAAUUUGCUUACCGUUACUAGUCUUAUCUUGAUUCGGCGGCAUUGUGGGAUGAAGCGGCCCGGACCGACCUUACACGUACUCUUACGUGAGACAGGUUCCACCGACUGACAUGCACUUGAUGCAUAAGGUGGCUAGCGGGUGUCUGUCUCUCCCACUUUAGUCGGAUCGGAUUCGAUGAAGAGGGUCCUUAUGAAGGGUAAAUAGCAAUUGGCAUAUCACCGUUGUGGCUUUUGCGUAGGUAAGAAACGUUCUUGCUAGAAACCCAUAGCAGCCACAUAAAACAUGCAACAACAAUUAGAGGACGUCUAACUUGUUUUUGCAGGGUAUGUUAUGUGAUGUGAUAUGGCCAAAAGGAUGUGAUGAAUUAUAUAUAUGUGAUGUAUGAGAUUGAUCAUGUUCUUGUAAUAGGAAUCACGACUUGCAUGUCGAUGAUUAUGACAACCGGCAGGAGCCAUAGGAGUUGUCUUAAUUUAUUGUAUGACCUGCGUGUCAAUGAAAAACGCCAUGUAAUUACUUUACUUUAUUGCUAAUCGUUAGCCAUAGUAGUAGAAGUAAUAGUUGGCGAGACAACUUCAUGAAGACACGAUGAUGGAGAUCAUGGUGUCAUGCCGGUGAUGAAGGUGAUCAUGCCGCGCCUCGAAGAUGGAGAUCAAAAGGCGCAAGAUGAUAUUGGCCAUAUCAUGUCACUUUAUGAUUUGCAUGUGAUGUUUGUCAUGUUUACAUCUUAUUUGCUUAGAACGACGGUAGCAUAAAUAAGAUGAUGCCUCACUAAAAUUUCAAGAGAUGUGUUCCCCCUAACUGUGCACCGUUGCGAAGGUUCUUUGUUUCGAAGAACCACGUGAUGAUCGGGUGUGAUAGAUUCUAAUGUUCGCAUACAACGGGUGUAAGCCAGAUUUACACAUGUGAAAUACUUAGGUUGACUUGACGAGCCUAGCAUGUACAGACAUGGCCUCGGAACACAAGAGACCGAAAGGUCGAACAUGAGUCGUAUAGUAGAUACGAUCAACAUGGAGAUGUUCACCGUUGAUGACUAGUCCUUCUCACGUGCUGAUCGGACACGGUCUAGUCAAUUCGGAUCAUGUAUCACUUAGAUGACUAGAGGGAUGUCUAUCUGAGUGGGAGUUCAUUAAAUAAUUUGAUUAGAUGAACUUAAUUAUCAUGAACAUAGUCAAAAGGUCUUUGCAAAUUAUGUCGUAGCUUACGCUUUAGUUCUACUAAGAUAUGUUCCUAGAGAAAAUUUAUUUGAAAGUUGAUAGUAGCAAUUAUGCGGACUGGGUCCGUAAACUGAGGAUUGUACUCAUUGCUGCACAGAAGGCUUAUGUCCUUAAUGCACCGCUCGGUGUGCUGAACCUCGAGCGUCGUUUGUGGAUGUUGCGAACAUCUGACAUACACGUUUUGAUGACUACGUGAUAGUUCAGUACGUAAUGUUAAACGGUUUAGAAUUGAGGCACCGAAGACAUUUUGAAACGUCGCGGAACAUAUGAGAUGUUCCAGGAGCUGAAAUUGGGAUUUUAGGCUCGUGCCCACGUCAAGAGGUGUGAGACCUGCGACAAGUUUCUUAAGCCUGCAAACUAAGGGAGAAAAGCUCAAUCGUUGAGCAUGUGCUCGGAUUGUCUGAGUACUACAAUCGCUUGAAUCGAGUGGGAGUUGUCUUCUAGAUGAGAUAGUGAUGGUUCUCCAAAGUCACUACGACCAAGCUACUAGAGCUUCGUGAUGAACUAUAACAUAUCAGGGAUAGAUAUGAUGAUCCUUGAGCUAUUCGCGAUGUUUGACACCGCGAAAGUAGAAAUCAAGUAGGAGCAUCAAUUGUUGAUGGUUAAUAAAACCACUAGUUUCAAGAAGGGCAAGGGGAAGAAGGGAUACUUCAUGAAACGGCAAAUCAGUUGCUGCUCUAGUGAAGAAACCCUAGGUAGAACCCAAACCCGAGACUAAGUGCUUCUGUAAUGAGGGGAACGGUCACUGAAGCAGAACUACCCUAGAUACUUGGUAGAUGAGAAGGUUGGUAAGGUCGACAGAAGUAUAUUGGAUAUACAUUAUAUUAAUGUGUACUUUACUAGUACUCCUAGUAGCACCAGGGUAUUAGAUACCGGUUCAGUUGCUAAGUGUUGGUAACUCGAAAUAAAAAGCUACGGAAUAAAUGGAGACUAACUAAAGGUGAGAUGACGAUAUAUGUUGGAAGUGUUUCCAAGGUUGAUGUGAUCAAGCAUCGCAUGCUCCCUCUACCAUCGAGAUUGGUGUUAAACCUAAAUAAUUGUUAUUUGGUGUUUGCAUUGAGCAUAUACAUGAUUGGAUUAUGUUUAUCGCAAUAUGGUUAUUCAUUUAAGGAGAAUAAUGGUUACUCUGUUUAUUUGAAUAAUACCUUCAAUGGUCUUGCACCUAAAAUGAAUGGUUUAUUGAAUCUCGAUCGUAGUGAUACACAUGAUCAUGCCAAAAGAUAUAAGAUAGUAAUGAUAGUACCACAUACUUGUGGCACUGCCAUUUGAGUCAUAUUGGUAUAAAACGCAUGAAGAAGCUCCAUGUAGAUGGAUCUUUGGACUCACUCGUUUUUGAAAAGAUUGAGACAUGCGAACCAUGUCUAUUGGUAUAUAUGCAUGAAGAAACUCCAUGCAGAUGGAUCGUUUGGACUCACUUGAUUUUGAAUCACUUGAGACUUGCAAAUCAUACCACAUGGGCAAGAUGACUGAAAGGCCUCGUUUUCAGUGAGAUGGAACAAAAGAGCAACUUGUUGGAAGUAAUACAUUUGAUGUGUGCAAUCCAAUGAGUGCUGAGGCAUGCAGUGAAUAUCAUUAUGCUCUUACUUCACAGAUGAUUUGAGUAGAUACUAAGUAUAUUUACUUGAUGAAAUACAAGUCUGAAGUAAUUUCAGAGUGAAGUAGAAGAUCAUCGUGACAAGAGGAUAAGAUGUCUAUGAUAUGAUCAUAGAGAUGAAUAUUUGAGUUACGAGUUUGGUACACAAUUAAGAAAUUGUGGAAAUUGUUUCACAACUAAUACCGCCUGGAACACCAUAGUGUGAUGGUGUGUCCGAACAUCAUAAAUGCACCCUAUUGGAUAUGGUGCAUACCAUGAUGUCUCUUAUCGAAUUACCACUAUCGUUUAUGGGUUAGGCAUUAGAGACAACCAUAUUCACUUUAAUAGGGAACCACGUAAUUCCGUUGAGAUGACACUGUAUGAAAUAUGGUUUAGAGAAACCUAAGCUGUCGUUUAUUAAAAGUUUGGGGCUGCGACGCUUAUGUGAAAAAGUUUCAGGCUGAUAAGCUCGAACCCAAAGCGGAUAAAUGCAUCUUCAUAGAAUACCCAAAACAGUUGGGUAUACCUCCUAUUUCAGAUCUGGAAGCAAAAGUGAUUGUUUCUAGAAACGGGUCCUUUCUCGAGGAAAAGUUUCUCUCGAAAGAAUUGAGUGGGAGGAUGGUGGAGACUUGAUGAGGUUAUUGAACCAUGACUUCAACUAGUGUGUAGCAGGGCACAGGAAGUUGUUCCUGUGGCACCUACACCAAUUGAAGUGGAAGCUUAUGAUAGUGAUCAUGAAACUUCGGACCAAGUCACUACCAAACCUCGUAGGUCGACAAGGAUGCGUACUACUUCAGAGUGGUACAUAAUCCUGUCUUGGAAGUCAUGUUGCUAGACAACAAUGAACCUACGAGCUAUGGAGAAGCGAUGGUGGGCCCGGUUUCCGACGAAUGGCUCGAGGCCAUAAAAUCCGAGAGAGGAUCCAUGUAUAAAACAAAGUAUAGACUUUGGAAGAACUACUUGAUGGUCGUAAGGCUGUUGGGUGCAGAUGGAUUUUAAAAGGAAGACGGACGAAGAUGGUAAGUGUCACCAUUAAAGAAAGCUCGACUUGUCGUUAAGAUGUUUUCCGACAAAUUCAAGGAGUUGACUGCGAUGAGACUUUCUCACUCGUAGCGAUGCUAAGAGUCUGUUGGAAUUAUAUUAGCAGUUACUGCAUUAUUUAUGAAAUCUUGCAGAUAGGAUGUCAAAACAUUAUUUCCUCGACAAUUUUCUUGAGGAAAGGUUGUAUGUGAUAAAGCCAGAAGGUUUUGUCAAUCCUGAAAUAUGCUAACAAGUAUGCAAAGCUCCAGCAAUCCUUCUAAGGACUGGAGUAAGCAUCUCGGAGUUGGAAUGUACGUUUUGAUGAGAUGAUCAAAGAUUUUGGGUUUAUACAAAGUUUAUGAGAAACUUGUAUUUCCAAAGAAGUGAGUGGGAGCACUAUAGAAUUUUUGAUGAGUAUAUGUUGUUAACAUAUUGUUGAUCAGAAAUGAUGUAGAAUUUCUGGAAAGCAUACAGGGUUAUUUGAAAAGUGUUUUUCAAUGGAAACCUGGAUUAAGCUACUUGAACAUUGAGCAUCAUGAUCUAUAAGGAUAGAUCAAAAAACGCUUAAUAGUACUUUCAAAUGAAUACAUACCGUGACAAGAUUUUGAAGGAGUUCAAAAUAGAUCAGCAAAGAAGGAGUUCUUGGCUGUGUUACAAGGUGUGAGUAUUGAGUAAGACUCAAGACCUGACCACGGCAGAAGAGAGAGAAAGGACGAAGGUCGUCCCCUAUGCUUUAGACGUAGGCUCUACAGUAUGCUAUGCUAUGUACCGCACCUGAAGCGUGCCUUGCCAUGAGUUAGUCAAGGGGUACAAUAGUGAUCCAGGAAGGGAUCACAUGACAGCGGUCGAACUUAUCCUUAGUAUCUAGUGGACUAAGGAAUUUUCUCGAUUAUGGAGGUGGAAAAGGAGUUCGUCGUAAAGGGUUACGUCGAUGCAAACUUUGACACUAAUCCGGAUGACUCUGAGUAGUUAACCGGAUUCGUAUAGUAGAGCAGUUAUUUGGAAUAGCUCCAAGUAGCGCGUGGUAGCUGCAUCUACAAGAUGACAUAGAGAUUUGUAAAUCACACACGGAUCUGAAUGUUGCAGACCCGUUGACUAAAACCUCUCUCGUAAGCAUAACAUGAUCAAACCCUAGAACUCAUUGAGUGUUAAUCACACGGUGAUGUGAACUAGAUUAUUGACUCUAGUAAACUCUUGGGUAUUAGUCACAUGGCGAUGUGAACUUUGAGUGUUAAUCACAUGGUGAUGUGAACUAGAUUAUUGACUCUAGUGCAAGUGGGAGACUGUUGGAAAUAUGCCCCAGAGGCAAUAGUAAAAUGGUUAUUAUUGUAUUUCCUUGUUCAUGAUAAUUGUCUAUUGUUCAUGCUAUAAUUGUAUUAACUGGAAACCGUAUUACAUGUGUGAAUACAUAGACCACAACAUGUCCCUAGUAAGCCUCUAGUUGACUAGCUUGUUGAUCAAUAGAUGGUUAUGGUUUCCUGACCAUGGACAUUGGAUGUCAUUGAUAACGGGAUCACAUCAUUAGGAGAAUGAUGUGAUGGACAAGACCCAAUCCUAAGCAUAGCACAAGAUCGUGUAGUUCGUUUGCUAAGAGCUUUUCAAAUGUCAAGUAUCAUUUCCUUAGACAAUGAGAUUGUGCAACUCCCGGAUACCGUAGGAAUGCUUUGGGUGUACCAAAUGUCACAACGUAACUGGGUGGCUAUAAAGGUGCACUACAGGUAUCUCCGAAAGUGUCUGUUGGGUUGGCACGAAUCGAGACUGGGAUUUGUCACUCCGUAUGACGGAGAGGUAUCUCUGGCCCCACUCAGUAAUGCAUCAUCAUAAUGAGCUCAAUGUGACUAAUGAGUUACCACGGGAUCAUGCGUUACGGAACGAGUAAAGAGACUUGCCGGUAACGAGAUUGAACGAGGUAUUGGGAUACCGACAACAUACCGAUAGACAAAGGGAAUUGUAUACGGGAUUGAUUGAAUCCCCGACAUCGUGGUUCAUCCGAUGAGAUCAUCGUGGAACAUGUGGGAGCCAAUAUGGGUAUCCAGAUCCCGCUAUUGGUUAUUGGCCGGUGAGGUGUCUCGGUCAUGUCUGCAUGGUUCCCGAACCCGUAGGGUCUACACACUUAAGGUUCGGUGACGCUAGAGUUGUUAUGGGAAAUAGUAUGUGGUUACCGAAGGUUGUUCGGAGUCCCGGAUGAGAUUCCGAACAUGACGAGGAGCUCCAGAAUGGUCCGGAGGUGAAGAUCGGUAUAUUGGACGAAGGGUAUUGGAGUCCAGAAUUGUUCCGGGGGUACCAGGCUAUGGCCAGCAUGUCCGAAAGGGGUUUCAGAGGCCCCNNNNNNNNNNNNNNNNNNNNNNNNNNNNNNNNNNNNNNNNNNNNNNNNNNNNNNNNNNNNNNNNNNNNNNNNNNNNNNNNNNNNNNNNNNNNNNNNNNNNNNNNNNNNNNNNNNNNNNNNNNNNNNNNNNNNNNNNNNNNNNNNNNNNNNNNNNNNNNNNNNNNNNNNNNNNNNNNNNNNNNNNNNNNNNNNNNNNNNNNNNNNNNNNNNNNNNNNNNNNNNNNNNNNNNNNNNNNNNNNNNNNNNNNNNNNNNNNNNNNNNNNNNNNNNNNNNNNNNNNNNNNNNNNNNNNNNNNNNNNNNNNNNNNNNNNNNNNNNNNNNNNNNNNNNNNNNNNNNNNNNNNNNNNNNNNNNNGCCCCUCCCAACCCCUCUCACGUAACCAGGAGAGGUGGGGGCGCCACCCCUAGGGCAGCCGCCCCUCCCGGCUUGGGGGGCAAGUUUCCUAGGGGGUGGGGGCGCCCAAACCCAUCUAGGCUAGAUCCAUCUAGAGGGGCCGGCCCCCUCUCCCCUUCCCCAUAUAUAUAUUGAGGGGGUGGGAGGGCAGCCACACCCUUCCCUUGGCGCAGUCCUCUCCUCCUCCAACUCCUCCUCCUCCUCCGUAGUGCUUAGCGAAGCUCUGCCGGAGAACCACGAGCUCCAUUGCCACCACGCCGUCGUGCUGCUGGAGUUCUCCCUCAACUUCUCCUUUCCCCUUGCUGGAUCAAGAAGGAGGAGGCGUCCCCGGGCUGUACGUGUGUUGAACGCGGAGGCUCCGUCCGUUCGGCGCUAGAUCGGAUCCUCCGCGAGUUGAAUCGCCGCGAGUACGACUCCAUCAACGGCGUUCUUGUAACGCUUCCGCUUAGCGAUCUUCAAGGGUAUGAAGAUGCACUCCCUCUCUCUCGUUGCUAGCAUCUCCUAGAUUGAUCUUGGUGACACGUAGGAAAAUUUUGAAUUAUUGCUACGUUACCCAACAAUAUGUACUCACAUAGUCACUCUCCACGGUUCCACUAGUUGGUGCAUCCCUCACUUGGUCCAUGGCCGCACUCCAACGAGCACAAGCGGGCUUCAUCAACUCCCACCGGCCUUGAAGCGACCGGUAAGUGCGAGAGAUGAACCCACUAUUCUUCGGCUUGAUCCUACAAUAGUUUUCCUCGAUCCUUUGCCAAUACCAUUUACCGGUUUGAUCGGCGCCGGUGCUUGCAUCCAUCCCCACAGCUGCCCAAGCACGAACCAAGAGGAUAUCUUCCGCCUCGGUGUAGUUUGUCGACCGCGCGUGUGGGCGGGAAGCGGCGGUGAAUGCCUCCUCCCCUAUCUCGGCCACCUCCUCCUCGUCAUCCCCUUCAUCCUCCUCAUCUUCCUCCAAAUUGUCACCAACCCUAAAGGGUUCUAGAGGCGGAGCCCCGAGGUCCACCUCCGCGUCUUGGAGGAGGUCCAUGAACGAGGAUGGGGUUGCCAUUUCCUCGAACACCUCGUGCGCGGCGGGAGGAGGUUCGGCGACGGCGGCGAGCGGGGCCGCGGGCGGGGCCGCGGGCUUCUUCCGCGGCUUCUUCACGGCCGGGGACGAGCCGGCGACCUUGGAGGACGCCCCUCGCGGCCCACGGGAGGCCGCCUUUGGCCGGCUCUUCUUGGGGGCGGGCGCGGCGGCGGGGGCNNNNNNNNNNNNNNNNNNNNNNNNNNNNNNNNNNNNNNNNNNNNNNNNNNNNNNNNNNNNNNNNNNNNNNNNNNNNNNNNNNNNNNNNNNNNNNNNNNNNNNNNNNNNNNNNNNNNNNNNNNNNNNNNNNNNNNNNNNNNNNNNNNNNNNNNNNNNNNNNNNNNNNNNNNNNNNNNNNNNNNNNNNNNNNNNNNNNNNNNNNNNNNNNNNNNNNNNNNNNNNNNNNNNNNNNNNNNNNNNNNNNNNNNNNNNNNNNNNNNNNNNNNNNNNNNNNNNNNNNNNNNNNNNNNNNNNNNNNNNNNNNNNNNNNNNNNNNNNNNNNNNNNNNNNNNNNNNNNNNNNNNNNNNNNNNNNNNNNNNNNNNNNNNNNNNNNNNNNNNNNNNNNNNNNNNNNNNNNNNNNNNNNNNNNNNNNNNNNNNNNNNNNNNNNNNNNNNNNNNNNNNNNNNNNNNNNNNNNNNNNNNNNNNNNNNNNNNNNNNNNNNNNNNNNNNNNNNNNNNNNNNNNNNNNNNNNNNNNNNNNNNNNNNNNNNNNNNNNNNNNNNNNNNNNNNNNNNNNNNNNNNNNNNNNNNNNNNNNNNNNNNNNNNNNNNNNNNNNNNNNNNNNNNNNNNNNNNNNNNNNNNNNNNNNNNNNNNNNNNNNNNNNNNNNNNNNNNNNNNNNNNNNNNNNNNNNNNNNNNNNNNNNNNNNNNNNNNNNNNNNNNNNNNNNNNNNNNNNNNNNNNNNNNNNNNNNNNNNNNNNNNNNNNNNNNNNNNNNNNNNNNNNNNNNNNNNNNNNNNNNNNNNNNNNNNNNNNNNNNNNNNNNNNNNNNNNNNNNNNNNNNNNNNNNNNNNNNNNNNNNNNNNNNNNNNNNNNNNNNNNNNNNNNNNNNNNNNNNNNNNGCGGAGGCCUCCAUGGCCGGGGCGGGGCGAGGCGGCGGGAGGAGCCGGGGAGGCGUGGAUGAAAUUUCCCUCCCGCGCGAGAGGAAAGAGGAGUGCGGGUUGGGGGAGUUUUUCCUCCCAACCCUCACUUCUACAGGUUGGGAAACAGUUUGAGGGUUCGACCUCUAAAUUUUUUUACGGGUUUAAAGGUUUAGAGGUUCUAGUCUACGGCUUUUUUCCGGCAAAAACUGUAAAAAGACAGUUAUUUUUAGGAGUUUCAGGGUUUGAGGGCUCUACUAGACUUGCUCUCAGUCCGGGCGAGCGCCUGGUCUCCCGCAGCGCGCGUGGCUGGCUGCCGUCGUUCCCAGCUACCGGGUCGUCUGCAGUGGCGUAGCUAGCCCAACAUGCCAGGGUGGUCCACCAAUGCAAAAUAUUCACAUAAAUAUAUUUAUUUAUUAUAAAAAAUAUAUUUUUCUCUAUGCUAUAUAGAUUAUGGGGAAAUUCCAGGGUGGUCCAUGGACCACCCUGUCCACCCCCUAGAUACGCCACUGGUCGUCUGCGUGGUGUCCGGCUGCUCGUGGCCAGCAACAUGCGUUCUUGUCGUCAUGGUCUGCCUGUCGUGUGCGUAGUGUACAGCUGCCCGUGCGCGUUGUGUACUACAGUACUUGUUUCGAGGGUUUAUUAUGCGUACUGUCCUAGUUCUAAACGUGUGUUAGCUAGAAGAUUUAGUAGUCUAUAUGUAAUACUUUGGAACGUGAUAAACUAACCACUAUGAUAAUGAUAUAAAUAUGAUCAUACAAGUGUUGCACAUAUUUCUACGGCUUUUGUACGCACAGAUUAGUUUAGCUAAGAAAUUUUUUUAUUGAAGUACAUAUAUAUGCAAAACAUCAGUGAACAUCUUUAAUAAAAAUCGGUGAACUGAUUGCCUUUUUACUUAGAUAUUCAGGACAUUCACAUAGUGCACUAGGGGCAAAAUGGUCUAUUUACCUCACACUUAACACCGUGGGUGACAAAAAUAGACGCAAUGUCACCGAGGGAACAAAAUAAAGUUUGAGUGUCAAAAUGGAAAGAAAAUUUUGUUUUGGGCCAAAAAGAGAAGGAGAUUUUAAGAAAGGGCCAAAUAAGAAAUUCUCUCUUAGAGGCAGGGAAAGGCUCCGAUGGGGCACCCCAGGCCCUCCUGCAACAUGUCAAGGGGAAAAAAGAUUAUAUGAGACCAGGUCUCAUAUUUAGCAGGUGAGACCCGCCCUGAUGGAUGAUACGUGGCAUCCACAAAUCACAAAGCAUAUAAUCCCCCCCCCCCCCUGAUUUCAGGUGGAGGGUGAGGUAGAUGCUUUAUGAUUUGUGAAUGCCAUGUGUCAUCCGUCAGGAUGGGUCGCACCUGCUAACCCGUGAGACCUGCUCUUAUAGAAUUCUUUUCCAUGUCAAGGUGCACACUCUUGCACUUACUAGGUAGCACAAUACACUUGAGCAAACUGGUGCGCAACCCUGACACUUCCCCAAAGUCUUUGAGAAUAGGACAACACAUCUUGCUCAGUUGGGCGCGGUUUAACUCCAAAAGAUAGGUUUUUCUUUUAUUUUAUACCAGGGAGAGUUUAGGGCUAAAAUAAAUACAAAUAAAAUUCUAAAAUUUGCAGAAAAUUUCGCAUAAAUACCUGGGCUCGUAUGUAACCCUGUGCUUUUUGUUCUGCCCUAAAUGCAAUCUUUAUAAAAUAUUAUUUUUACAAAAUAGUUAAUUUGAGUAUUAAAAUAUUUCUCAAUUAACUUUAAAAUUCCAAAUAGUUUUCUAAUAAUUUUUCCAACUCUUUUAUUUUGAAGAAGUCAUGUUAUCUUGCCUCUUAAUAUUUUUCUUGAGUGGAAAAACUAUUUGAAUAUUGCAAAAAUAGAAUCCAAAACUGCAAAGAAAAUAUGAUAUGCAUAUGAAUGAAUAGUAAGACAUCGAAAUUGAAAAUUGGGAUGUUACAUGCGUAUGGGUUAUUCCGUCAAUUUGGUCAAACAAUGUGCCGGUAGUUGCACCUGGAGUUGGGCAAGCAAGUCGAAUGACUACUCUCGAUGUUCCUGCUCCGAACACCAAAACCGUGUGAACUCCUAGUUAUCUUGAUGAACUUUGUGCUUUCCUAUGCAUGCAACUGUGCUUUUGUAAACUUGCUAUGCUUGAGAAUGUUGUGUGCUUGAGAACAUUGUGUUUGUGUGCUUGAGACAUUGUGUUUGUGUGCUUGAGACCAUAGUUUGUUAUGUAUGUUCUGCAAUGAUGUUUGGCUAUAAUGUGACAAUGAUUGAGUCAUUUGGGAAGUGAUAUUUGUGCUAUAUAUAUGCGGGAUAUUAUUUGUAUAUGUGAUUUGUUACGAGGCUUUGCAAAGUGCAAUACCCAGCUAAACAUUUUUAUCGAAUGUAGCACUCGGCAAAGGUGCCACAUGGCGCCACCUGGUAUCUUGGUGGACUCUUUCCUGAGUUGGACGGGGCGGAUCUCGACAAACAUCACAACCUGGGAUUUUACUGGACAUAUAUUUGCCGAGGACGGAACUUGGCAAAUGUCAAGAACUUGACAACUUUGCCGAGAUACAGAGUUGUACUUCGCGGACUGUGCCAGCCUUUGUCGUGUGGUACAGAAAGAAUGUCAGCGAUGCUGCCAUGCCACGCGUCAGUCAACCAUAAGACACAUUUUGCCGAGUACAAUGUCGGCAAUCUCGGCAUACUUUAAAUCUCGGCAAACAUCAAUGUCCACAUGUCAUCUGCUCGUGUGUCCAUGUUUGCCGAGUAAGUCCGCCAUAGAUACUCAGCGAAGACGACAUCUCGGCACACUUUGGGCGCCACGUGUCGCGCUCCGGGGCCUCCGAAUUUGCCGAGUAUCUAUGAAAGGCUCUCGGCAAAGUGGCCUGCCACGUGGUUGCCGCCGUCUCCGUCCGGCCUAUCAAGUGCCCUUUUUUGCCAAGUGCCCCGCCUAGGGCUUGGCAAAAGGUUUUCCGAAUCCCCGAUAGAUGGCUCUUGGCGAAGUGGCAUUUGCCUGAAGGGUUUGGGCCGAGCACCUUGAGCAGAGAACUACACUAGUCAAACACGUUGCCGAGUGGAAAUUGGCUUUCGCCGAGUUUUCCUGGAACUCGGGAAACUCGGAAAUUCAAGUAGGUAGCCCCUUGUCCAUGUCUCAUGCAUGUAUUUCACCUGUAUUUGUUCUGAUUGCACUCUUGGUAGUCCAAAGUAUUUGUCGCCCUGGCCUGGACGUCGCUCUCCUCCGAGAAACUUGAUAAGACGAUGCCGAUCGGCCGGCCUAGUGGAUGCAAGGAAGACAUGGUACGCAUGCUAGUCCACUUGUCACUGUCCUUGAAUGUUCAUGCUGUAGGCACAUUAUUAUUGUUGUCCUGGUCCUAAGAUGUCAGUUACAGUGGUUCAGACUUUUAUGUCUACUAGAGCAAUGCCCGUGCGUCGCAACGGGAUAUAAUAGUUUUGUUAAAGCACAUCUAGAUGUGAUCUAAGUAUUGCACAUCUAAGUCCUAUGCCAUUAAUAUACUAUAGUAUGUUAGCAUGUGAUUUACCUGUCCAUACUAUGCGAUUGUGUAAAUAAAUGUUCACCAAAUUAUGUCUGUGAUCUACCUUAUAUGUUGAUCGGAAGUGAUUUACCUGCACAUACUAUGCAAUUGUGUAAAUAAAUAAUUAUCAAAUUCUGCAUGUGAUUUACCUUAUACUUUGAUCAGAAGUUUGGUGAGUAAAUUAAAAUGAAAUUGGUUCGGUAAGUAAAUUAAGAUGAUGAUUAUUAUACAGGGAUGGUUGGACGAAGAGGUUGUGGAAAGAAAGAUGGAACGGUAACUUUACGUUUUUUUUAAGCGGUAGAGAUUAGUUUGGAAAACGUACUUCCUCGAUAGCAAAACUAGAAGCACGUACGCCACUAUACUAUUCCCAGUGGAGCCCUCAUCACAACUCAGAGCAACAGCAAUGGCUGAGCUGAAGCUAUGCUUGUGCUUCUUGCUCCUCUGUGUACAUGUCCAUCAUGCGACCGCUAUCUCGUUCAGCUACAACUCCUUCCGCUCCGGUGAUUUCAGAGAGGAGGAUGACGCGAUGGUCACCGACGGCAGGAUUGAGCUCGUCGGCGACGAGGCCGGCGGUCGAGCAAGGGGCCGCGUCCUGUACAAGCAGGCGGUGCAGCUCUGGGACGGCGUCAAGGGCGAGACGGCCAGCUUCACCACGAGCUUCAACUUCAGCAUCCAGUCCCUGCCUGGCCGGAGCAGCACCCCCGGGCACGGCAUGACGUUCUUCGUCGCGCCCUACAUGCCCGAAAUGCCGCAGGAGUCCUACGACGGCUGCCUUGGGCUCUUCGACGAGAAACAUGCCCCGAAGAACGGGACGACGAUUAUCUCGGCCAACGCCUCCGGCAGCGCCAGCUUCGUCGCCGUAGAGUUCGACACCCACCGUGACGCGUGGGACCCCAGCAGCCGGUACAUCGGCGUAGACGUGAACAACGUCGACUCACGCGGCAACUUCAGGAUCUUGCCGGAAGGCAGCCUCGUGGACGCCGGCGUGAUGUCUUCGACGGUGACCUACGACAACGCCACGUCGUGGCUGGACGUCGUCCUCCGCGACAGUGGUGCCGAGUAUGCCCUCGGCGCCACCGUCGACUUGCGAAGCUUGCUGCCGGAGCAGGUCGCGUUAGGCUUCUCGGCGGCCACCGGUGAUGCCUUCGGCAGCAGUCACACGUUACUCUCGUGGUCCUUCCACUCCACGCUCCCGACAAGGAACUACACGGCCCUCCCAUCUACCUCGUCAACCAAGAAGGCCACCCUACCACUCAUAGCCGGGGUUGCCGCCGCAGCCGUGGUGGCGCUCCUGCUCGCGGUCACCGUGGCGGUGCUGCUCCGUCGUGCGAGCAGGAGAAACAGGCAAACAGACGACAAAGACAUGCUCGCCGGCGACAUGACUCCGGACUCCCUCGAUGCCGACGGCGAUGAGUUCGGUUCCAGCACGGGACCCCGGCCGAUCCCGUACGCCAGCCUAGCGGCGGCGACGAGGAACUUCGCGGAGGAAGGGAGGCUGGGGCAGGGCGGAUCCGGGUCGGUGUACCGGGGCCACAUGAAAGAACUCGGCGGCCGCGAUGUCGCGGUCAAGGUAUUCCUCCGAGGGGCGUCCUUGGAGGGGAGGAAGGAGUACAGGUCGGAGGUCACCAUCAUCAGCAGACUGCGUCACCGGAAUCAUGUGCAGCUAACCGGCUGGUGCCAUGGCCGCAGGCGGCUGCUGCUGGUCUACGAGCUCGUCCACAACGGCAGCCUCGAUGGGUACCUCUACAGCAACACCAAAAACGACGUUCUGACUUGGCAAGUUAGGUACGCAUGCUUUGAGCCACGUGCACAUCCAUAUCGUUCCAGUCCUAUUCUUUACUUACUUUUCUACCUUGACUAAAUGAACUAGUCCCUCUCCCAUAAUAUAAGAAUGUUUUUGAUAGUAUCGUAUGCUGAAAAUACUUACAUUACAGACUAGAAAAAUCGUCGUAUCAUUUGAACUGUCCUUUUCUAGCUUUGAUUGAGUCCAUUGAGAUCUAAGUUCUUGGUCGAUGCUAGUAUUUCUUAGGCUUUUCUUAGCAUUACUACUAUUUGAUUAUGCGGUUUCGAUAUUUCUUAGGCUUUUUCAAUGGGUGUCGCUAGGUCUUAGUCGACUAAGAUUUAACCAAGUCUCCAUCAAGUGACAUAAUAUGCUAGAGAGAAACAGAAAAGCUGAAAACAAAAUUUUGCACGGAUCGCAAUGUAAGAUCUCACGAAUAUAGAAUCAACUGAGACACUGGACUUAGCAAGACUGUUUUCCAAUAAUAACAUGUCUUGCUUUUUUCACUAUCAGAACUCGGCACUUUACCGAGUGCCCGGCAAUGGGAGAAAUGCACUCGACGAAAGGUUUGCUGAGUGUUAGACUCGUCAAAGGGAACUCGACAAUGAAAUAGUCUAGACGGAACAGAGUCGAAUGUAAAAGAAAGGCACUCGACAAUGAAAUAGUCUAGACGGAACAGAGUCGAAUGGUGCCAUUGUCACGUGCCAUAGCGUUAGUUUGCCGAGUGUUGCACUCAGCAAAAGUAGAGGGGCUUGCUGAGUGGUACACUUGGCAAAUCAUUUUAGCAUAAUUAAAGAAAACGCAGGCGACCUCAGCCUAGCCCAACCAUCCUACACGGGGUCGCCAGGAUGCCUGGCGGCGGGUUGGGAAGAUCAUCACGGUAAGGAUCCCCUCAUGCAUCUUCGGUUGUGCGACAUAGGCAGAGGGCAGCGGCCACGGGAUCGCCAUCGAGCUCAGUGGAAGUGGCUUCAAGCCCAGCAAAGCUCCAUCUCCAUUAGGAUAAGGCCGUCGUGAGGUAGGUCCCCUGGAUGAGCCGGAGAUGGCCGCUGCCACCGUGUGUCGCUGCCCCAUGAGGAGAGAGGUUAUGGCCGUGCAUGCACGUCUAUUCGCUAUCUCUGGGCGUUGCUGGCCCCCGAGGAGGGAGCAGCUGGCUCUAAGAUGAGAAUGAACAGCAAGGUCAACCGAGUGACACGACCGCGGUGAAAUUCUAGGAGGCGGCCCUAGAUGUUUGGCAGUGGUAGCGACAUCAUGCCCGCAUGGUCUUCGGCGACGUCGUCUAAAGAAUAGAGCGGUGAUUGGGUGAAGGAGAGAGAGUUAGUAGUGAGAGAGGGAUUGAUAGAGAAAGGAGAGAGAGAAGAGAGGAGGGAGAAGGGAGAGAGGAAUAGGCAGCCAUUGGAUCUGUGAGAAUGAAACGGUGGGGAGGUAUGAUCCGGUGGAAGGGUGUCUUUACCGAGUGUCUCUCCGAAAAUGCACAUGGAAACUCGUCAUAGUGCCAUGUUUGUCAUAAGAUAAUUAGGCCUUACCGAGUGUCUCUUAUUUUGUUCUUUUUUUUUUCUUUCUUCUCUUCUGUUUUUGUGUAAGGCCUAAGCAUAGAUUCAUUAAAUACAAAUAGGAAUUGUUAAAACAUUUUCUUGAACUGUUUCACGGACUUGCAGUUAAAAAUUGAAUUAUAUUAACUAAAUCUCUAGAAAAUGGACUUAAUGACUUAAAUAUAGAAAAUGGAUUCCAAAAAUGCUAAAUUUUCACAUGUGUCAUGUAAUGGUCUUUUUGAAUGUAGAAUUUUUUUCAUGUCCAACAUAUGAAGCAGGGAUCGCUUCACCUUAAACCUGAUUUGAUCCCUUUUGAAACCACAAUUCUUUCUAGGAGAUGCAACUUUUAUGAUUCUUUCUCAAAAUUUUACCAUAGUUUUACUACUAGGAAAAGAACUAUAGAUAAUAUGGAGACUAAUGGCGCACCACACAUGUGGUGCGCCACUACUAGUGGCGCACCAUGUGUUGGUACGUCAUUAGUGUCCAAAUACUAAUGGCGCACCACAUCCACGGUGCGCCACUACUAACAAUUUUUUUUUUCAAAAUUAGUAAUUGCGCACCAGGAUUUGUUAGUAGUGGCGCACCGAGGGUGUGGUGCGCCAUUACUAGUUUAACUAGUAAUGGCGCACUAGUAAUGGCGCACCACAAACUAGUAAUGGCGCACCACACCCUCGGUGCGCCAUUACUAGUUUAACUAGUAAUGGCGCACCACAAACUAGUAAUGGCGCACCACACCCUCGGUGCGCCACUACUAACAAUUUUUUAUUAUUUUUUUUCAAAGUUAGUAAUGGUGCCAUUACUAACUUUGCCCAAAAAUCCCCCCGGACCGCCUUUUCUGUUUUAGAAAAAAUAAAAAAAAUGAUGAAAAUGUGGUCUAGUUGUUGGAAGAAUUUACAAAUAUGAAUUUUGACUUUAUUUGCAAAAUCUCUCUGGAAUUUGUAAAAUGGGCAUAACUUUUGCAUACGAACUCGGAUUAAAAAGUUUUUUAUAUGAAAAAUCAUCUACUCGAAAAGUUACAUACGAUUUGAACGGGGGGAACCCGUUCAACAUCUUCAAAAUCCCCAAAAACCUAACAGAACGAAAGAUACGGGGCUUUUAAGAUCUAGAGGGGGAAAAUGAAGAAAAAUUCAAACUUACUAGUGGCGCACCAUUUGCUAGGUGCGCCACUAGUAAUAGAAAAAAAAUUGGUUUCAAAAAAACUUUUUUUAUGGAUUUUUUUUCAAAAUAUGAUACGUAAUAUGAUCGGGAACUUUGAAAUAUUUUUUCAAAAUUUCAUCACACUCAUGAACAUGAACAAAGUCCUAAACAUCAACAAGGUUUAAUAGGAUUGAUAUGAUAGAUAUAUCAACAAGUGUCUGUGAAGUGAGCUGGUGCUGGGGUUGGAUAGAACUAUGAAGUUAAGCGUGCUUGGGCUGGAGUAGUGUGAGGAUGGGUGACCUUCCGGAAAGUUUGACCACGGAGUGCGAUUUGACUUGAGAUUAAGCAUAUUGGCUUGAGAUUAAGCCAUAGUGACCCGAGAUUAAGAAAAAAAACGAAAAAAAAUGUGAAAUUACUUUUUAAAAAAAAUUGUGAAUUUUUUUUUAAAAAAAAUUGUUAGUAAUGGGGCACUUCUAUGUGGUGCGCCAUUAGUAAGUCAGAUAGUAAUGGCGCACCGUGGGAUAUACUAAUGGCGCACUCCCAAUGGCGCACCACAGGUGCGCUAUUAGUAAAAAAUUCUAAUGGCGUGAUGCUAGUGGCGCACCUGUAGUACGCUAUUAGUAGCCAAAACAGGUGCGCCACUAGCAGGCCUUUUCCUAGUAGUGUUUCUAGGGUUCAUAUAAUCACACCUUUCCAAAUUCAUAUUUUUAGAGUUUGUUCGUAUUUUCAGAAUUAAAAAACCAAUAACCUCCAUCGUUGCGGUUAAGUCUUGGCACACUAAUGUUUGAAAUUUCUUUACUUUUUUGAGUAUGGCUUAAACAUAGACUCAAGAAUAGAAAUAGGAUCUUUCAACCCUAUUUUACCAACUUUUCAUGCACUUGUAGUUCAAAUUUUAAUUAUAUUCACUAAUACUUAUAAAAUGCACUUGAUGACUUAAAUAUAGCAAACAGACCCCAGAAAAUUUCUAAUUUUGACAUGGAAGAUGUCAUGGUGUAUAUUCAUCAAUCACCUAGCCUUCAAACUUGACACAUUCCAUCUUGAAACUAUGAUUCUUCUUUGGAGAUGGUUCGAUUUAUAAGCAGUUUACGUCACUACUUUUACGAAAGUUUCUCAAAUUUUUACCACCGACUUUAGGGAUCAUAUAAUGACAUAAUGUCAAGUUUGAUGUUUUGUAGACUUCGUUUGAAGUUUUAAUAAAAAAUAAAAAACCAUAACCUAUAUGUUUGGGGUCAAGUCUUGACACCUUCAUGUUUGGAAUUCCUUUUAUUAUUUUUGAGUAUAGCCUAAACAUAGACUGAAGAAUACAAAUAGGAUUUUUCAUAUACGGCCCACAAUCGUACACGACUAAAAGUUAUGAAAGCAAGUCAAGCAGUGCCAGAUGAUGAUAAAAUAGAGGCACAUCCUUCUUUUGUAGAGUUAAUUCUUGGAUUGGACAUUCUAGCGGCAUUCAGAACUUAGUCGGAGUACUUGGAUGAAAUCUGAUUUGGCUUGAUUGUGCCCUUACUUUUGUUAUUAUCAGAUACCAGAUCAUUCUUGGACUGGCGUCUGCCGUGCUGUACCUCCACCAAGAAUGGGAUCAAUGCGUCGUCCAUGGUGACAUUAAGCCGAGCAACAUCAUGCUGGACGAGUCCUUCAACACCAAGCUAGGCGACUUUGGCCUGUCGCGGCUCAUCGACCACGGCAUGAGCUUGCAGACAAUGACCGCCAUGGCGGGAACCCCGGGCUACCUCGACCCGGAGUGCGUCAUCACCGGUAAGGCGUCCACCGAGUCCGACAUGUACAGCUUCGGUGUCACGCUGCUGGAGAUCGUGUGCGGGCGGCGACCGAUGGCGCCGCCCAGCGCCGGUGCGAGGGACGGCCAGGUGUUCCGGCUGCUGGAGUGGGUUUGGGACCUCUAUGGCAGGGGCGCCGCCCUCGACGCCGCUGACGAGCGUCUCGGCGGCGUGUUCGACCGGUGGGAGAUGGAGAGGGUGGUAGCCGUUGGGCUGUGGUCCGCGCACCCGGACCCAAAGAUGAGGCCGGCGAUGAGGCAGGCAGCCGAGGCGCUGCAGUCAAGGAAGUUCAGGAUGCCGGUGCUGCCGUCCAAGAUGCCGGUGGCCGUGUACCUGCAGCCUUUCGGAGAUUCCGCCAUGGAGUACGGCGACAGCACCACCACGGUUGGGUCCGGGGUUACCACGCAGCAGUACUCGUCGACCAGCUGUACAACAGCGACGCAAUCUUCAAAUACUAGCAUGCCGGCGGCUGUAAGUGAGGAGUUGAACCCCAAUAUAGAGUAGUGGACUUCAGAAUUCAGAUCGUGGUGGGCGGAAAAGAAGAGUUCCGCUCCAGAAUAUUUGUACUGUCGAGUUAUAUAGGGAUCAAUGCAGUCACGUUGCUUGUAACUGCACUAAUAGAUUUUAUAAACUACUUCCUUCGUCCCAUAAUGUAACACUACACUAACGUCUUACAUUACGACUUUAUGGGACGGAGUAGUAGAUUGUACCCCGCGCUGGUUGGUUUUGGAAUCGGUUGCAACAUAAUUUAUUGAAAUGCAGUUGUAUGGCAUAUGAAUAUUUGAAUUAAUAUUGAGAUGUGAACUGGUCUUUUCUUUGGAAGAACCAAAAAGGGGAAGAGAAUAAUUAUAUACAGUUGUUUGGCUGUGAGAUUGGUUCUCUCCCGUUUAGUUAUCUAGGAAUACCGAUUCAUCACCGUAAGCUAACAAACAAAGAGUGGAAGUGCAUUGGGGACAGAUUUAAAAAAAAGUUAGUUGUUGAUAAGGGAAACUUAUGUCGUAUGGUGUUAGGCUAGUAGUCGUGAACUCGGUGCUUACGAGCUCGUCUAUGUUCAUGCUAUCGUUCUUCAAAGUAAAAAUAGGGAUGCGGAAAAGACUUAAUUUCUAUAGAUCUAUUUUUUGGCAGGGUGGUGAGAAUUAGACAAAAUAUCGCCUAGCGAGGUGGGAUAUAUUGUGUCGACCUAAGAAUCAAGUUGGUCUGGGUAAUGAGAAUCUUGAAAUAAAAAAUACAUGUUUGCUUAGUAAAUGGCUUUACUGUUUAUCCAUCGAUGAGGNNNNNNNNNNNNNNNNNNNNNNNNNNNNNNNNNNNNNNNNNNNNNNNNNNNNNNNNNNNNNNNNNNNNNNNNNNNNNNNNNNNNNNNNNNNNNNNNNNNNNNNNNNNNNNNNNNNNNNNNNNNNNNNNNNNNNNNNNNNNNNNNNNNNNNNNNNNNNNNNNNNNNNNNNNNNNNNNNNNNNNNNNNNNNNNNNNNNNNNNNNNNNNNNNNNNNNNNNNNNNNNNNNNNNNNNNNNNNNNNNNNNNNNNNNNNNNNNNNNNNNNNNNNNNNNNNNNNNNNNNNNNNNNNNNNNNNNNNNNNNNNNNNNNNNNUAUUUACAUUCUAAGACCUUGUCACAAUUAACGGCUCAAUCAAAUGACUAACCCUUUUGGAAGGGUUUGAUGGGGACUAAGGUUGCCUCCUUCAAUAGGGGUACAUUCAUUAUUAAAAAUGGGCGCACUACGUGAUUUUUAGAGGAUAUUUUGCUGAUGAAUAAACCUCUAGCCCUACAAUACCCAACACUUUAUAGUACUGUGCAACAUAAGGAGGCUUAUGUUAGUACGAUAUUGGGGCCGGUCCCCUUAAAUGUCCAGUACAGGCAGGCUCAGGUUGGGGACAGAUGGAUUGCUUGGCUUCAAUUAGUUAAAAGGCUGAUGAAGGUUACCUUAUCUAAUGAGCAUGAUAUGUUCCAAUGGAGGUUGACUGCUUCUAAAGUGUUCUCCGUUAAAGUUAAAUCAAUGUACAUAGACUUGAUUAAUGUUGGGCCGGUUUUUCGUUCAAUUCAUAUUUGGAAAACCAAAGUUCCUUUAAAGAUUAAGAUUUUCAUAUGGUUUCUAAAUAGAGGUGUGAUUCUUACUAAAGACAAUUUAGCUAAGCGCAGAUGGAAGGGUAGUAAACAAUGUUAUUUCUAUGAUCAAGAGGAGAUGGUUCAUCAUUUUUGGCAUGCUUGUUUGCCCACUUUUUGUGUCGUACAAUUCAUGUGUCAUUUAAUAUACCUCUACCUACUAGCGUGUCAAAUUUGUUUAGUAACAGGUUAGUUGGGGUGGAGCCUAAGACUACGAUGUGAAUCCGUGUGAGAGUAUGUGUAUUGCUUUGUGCUAUUUAGAACUGUAGAAAUGAUUCUGUGUUUAACACAACAAAGAUUCACAUUUUUUUGUAGGUUAUCUAUAGAGCUUCAUGAUGGAUCCGCAUGUGCUACUUACUACACCAUGAGGAAGCGAGGCGGUUUAUGGUCUAUUGGUGCAAUAGUUGGGAUACAAUAGCACGGGCUACACAUAACCGGUUAGGAUAGUGGUCGAAUAGUAUGAUAUGUGUGUACAAAAGUACUCUUCUAGUCCUGAGCUCAAAUGAGCUCGGGUGAACAGUAAAAUCAAAAAUAUUGAAUUUUUUUAGUGACAAACACUAACAAAUGUUUUCAAUGCUUGCAAAAUUUCAUCGUGAGAUGACAUUUGUAGAAGCCGUGGCAAAAAAAAUUCAACACACCAAAAUGCUGUUGGAAAUGACAUUUUUGGAGCAUCGAUUUUGUUGGCUGUAGCAGUUUUCAUUGUAAUAAUUUCUUUCAGUACAUGAUCUUAACACUUGUAACCUUUUAAUAAAUGGAUGUGUGCAUCAAAAUGGCUGGGCGUAUUCCUCUUUUUUUUCAAAUAAAAAAAAUAUAUAUAAUAUAUUGUAUUGUAUUAUUCAAUAGUUGUAAAUUAUUUAUUGAAUAUUAGCAUCACAAAAUUGAAAGAAUUUUCCUAUGCAUUAUGGUAUCCUGAGGUGGAAAUUUGUCAUGCAUAAUUGCAUGUUGAGAUGACAUAUUUGCAUGUUGUUGGAAUCGAUUGUUUAAGAACUAGAGGCACUACUGUUAUGGAACAUUACCUAGUCUCAGGUUGUUUGCUGAGUGCGUUACUUUCUUUCCACUCAGGCAAACAAGUCUUUGUGAAGUACAUUCUCUUUUGCAUUCGGCAAACAAUUUUUGCCUAGUAUCUUUUUUUUACAUUCCAAACAUAACCAUUUAUCGAGUACCUUUUUUUUCUGUACUCGGCAAAUAUUUAUUUAUUUUCUUUAUCUUCUCCUUUCCCUUGUUUAUUUUUAGUUCUUCUAGUUCUAGUUCUAGUUGGUCCUAGUUGACUAAUUAGAGUUGGAUUAAUCCUCUUUUACUCAUAAUUAGAAGCCUAGUGUGGUUCUAAUCUCCUCUCUUUAAUUCUCCGGCAAUGAUUAGUUCUGGACGUACGGCGAAGCGUUGCCGGAUCGUGAAGGUUGCACGCUUGCAACCAAGUAGAGAGGACGUGCUUUCGGUCUUUAGUUCAAGGGACUGUUCGUGGGUGGUACGAGGGAUCGUUCAUCUACAGUUCGAGGGACUCCAAGUAUGAUCUACACCGACACGUUCUUCUUCCGCUGCAACUCGGUGACGGUAACAAUCAUGAUCCCAACUUGUGAUGCAUCUUAAUAUUGAUCUUGGUUGAUCGCAGGUGCGAUAUUUUUUUCGUUUUCUACUACGUUUCCCUACAACUAUACCAAUUUUGUUUGGUAAUUAAUUAGUUGGGUGGUAUUCAUCAUGCCUUGAAGGGCCAAAUCCAUGUGGGAGUUUGUGCCUUGCAUUGGGCAAUGUGGAAUUGCCAGAAUGAAUGCAUUUUGAACAGAUCAUCUACUCCAUAUUUUUUGCAGCUUAUCGUCAAAACUACGGCGUCAAUACGUACAUGGUCAUCACAACAUCAUGUGGACACAUGAGGGCUUAUGGCCGUUGGGUGUNNNNNNNNNNNNNNNNNNNNNNNNNNNNNNNNNNNNNNNNNNNNNNNNNNNNNNNNNNNNNNNNNNNNNNNNNNNNNNNNNNNNNNNNNNNNNNNNNNNNNNNNNNNNNNNNNNNNNNNNNNNNNNNNNNNNNNNNNNNNNNNNNNNNNNNNNNNNNNNNNNNNNNNNNNNNNNNNNNNNNNNNNNNNNNNNNNNNNNNNNNNNNNNNNNNNNNNNNNNNNNNNGAGCUAUGUAAUCUUGCGUUUCAACCGGUGUGGUCGUGUGUUGAUGUAAACGCUUUGGUACUUGGUGAUUUGGACUUUUUAUGUUUAGUAAAUGGUUGUGUGCAUACAUGAUGAAGAGGUCGGGGUUAUCCCUUUUUAAUUAUUAUUUUUAUUAAAGUUGAUGUAAGACAACAAGAUCAAUAACAAAAAAUAAAGUACAAAACAUGGACAACCAUUGCAGAUUGAUUCAAAGUAUUUCCAUCGAUCCCUCCACCUAUCAUGGACCCUCCAGCCAGGUCGUAUGGGUCCGAGGCGUCCGGGCAGAUCGGACGGCUCGCGGCACUCCCGAGAGGCUAUCGACGCAAGCCACAAUGCGAGUGGACGGCCAGGAAUCUCUCUCGGCCGUGAAGAUCCCUGGGAGGUGGGUACGCUAGCAUCCUUUAUAGGAGUAACCGACAUACCUAUGGACUAAAUGUUUUGAUCACGCAAAUAUAAAAUGAAGUCUUGAGGCUUGAUCCAACAAUUGUCCUUAGCGUUUUAAGGGGUACAUCCCUUGUUGUACCUAUAUUGAACUUUCCUGGACAUUCUUUCAAUAGGUAUUAGUUCAAUCAAAUAUAUGUUAUUAUGAAUUACCAAAACUGCGCAAGGAUUAGAUGCACUUUCAUCAGCUCUAACAUGUGCGUUCAUUGAAGGUAAUGGUAGGUCAAACAUUUUCUGGACUAAGUCAUGGAGUUUGAGACAUAUCACGCCCCUGAGUAACACUGUUUUUAGUAACAAACUAGUUUCACCCAAUGAGAGCCAAGAUAUCAAUCUGGGAAGUUCUCCUACAAGCUAAUUCUUAACCUGGCACUUAACUAAGAAACUUCUAAUUGGUCCCAAACACUUCUGGUGAAGUUGUUAAUCUCACUAGCUUUGCUAGUUAUAAGGAUUAGCAUAUCUAGUGUUUGGAGUUGAUCUCGUAUGCAAGAAGAAUUAAAAUUUUGAAUAUUAAAUAAUAGAAUAGCAAGCGAAACGAGGUUGUAUUCUUAUGAAUAAAGAAAGGGUAGCGAUUCAUAAUUUCACUAGUGGCGUCUCUCCAGAUAGCAUGGGUGUGGUAAUAACGGCAACCGAUCUACACACUUUUCACUAAGAUGUUAUGGAAAUGGAUGGGGGAGAUGAUGUUGAUGGAGAUGGUGAAGAUGACUUAGCUGACGACAUUCAUAUUUAUUUAGUAGUGAUGAUGACGGCGAUUUCUUUGAAUUCGCUAGACGAAGGGGGAAAUCAUGGUAGAAACACGCCAACAGGAAGCUACGGUUUCAGCGAGCGAAAGCAAAAUACCACAGAGAGGGUACCCGCAGUGGCAUGUGGGCCCCAGUCAUCUUGUCCAGGCAGCUAAAGGGUCGAGGCACCUAUGUUGGGUGCUUGGGCCUACCAGAAACCUACUCCUUUUGAUCCAAACCAUGCUCGCAUAUUUUUAUUGAAUUCUUCUCUACGUCUAAAAAGAGAUUUUAUUUGUGAAACUUUUAUCCCCCCCCCCUUCAGACAACUUUCCAGUAGUCCUUUCGGUAAUUCUCUGCAAUAUAAGAAGUUGAAGUUAAAAUGAAGUAGUGGUGAUCAUAUAAGAAUGAAAGUAGAGUAUUUAUCUUUUGAAUUGUGAUGGAAAAUACAUGUAUCACAGUCCCAUCCAUCUGUCUGGUUUUACAAAGAUGGAGAUAUGUUAUACUCCCUCCGUUCCUAAAUAUAGGUCUUUCUAGUGAUUUCAAUAAGUGACUAUAUACGGAGCAAAAUGAGUGAAUCUAGACUCUAAAAUAUGUCUAUAUACAUCCGUAUGUGGUAGUCUAUUUGAAACUCUAAAAAGACUUAUAUUUAGGAACGGAGGGAGUACAACAUACCAACAACCAACAUACUUGCUCCAUAAUAUGUUUAGGAGUAAAUGUUACAACUAUGGAAGGUUUUUUGUGAGUUAUGUACUGGCAAAGGUGGUUGGCUCAACAGUAAAUAACUGAAGGGGGAGGGGGGGGGUAUAUAGCUCCUUAUUAUAAAUCUGUUUUAUUUAAAACAUUCUAUGGUUUCACCAAUUACAGAAAAAAUUGAAAAUCUCUAAAGGUAUUUAUUUAAUAAUGGAAUUUCUCCUAUGGUGCCCCAAGGUAUAUAUUCCCAACAACAUAUAGUAACACACAUGAGUCCAAAGAUAUUGGAUAAGGUAUCUAACUCAAAUUAUAUAUGAGCUCCUUCCUUUAAAAAAUGAAAAUAAUUAUGAUAUCUCAUUAAUACACCCAUUUAUAUGGCACAGAUAUAGAUAUUCAUAACACAUUGAUUCAAAACUAUCUCAGAAAGACAACAUGGGCGGUGGACAUUAAUGUUGUAAGAUAUUAUUAAUUUUGAACAGAACUUCCAAUAAAUGUUCUUAGACGGCGCAUGCUGGCAAUAAACAUUCCCAGACGGCUAUAAAAGUUGUAUCAUGUAUACCACCGAACACAUGACCAAGAACACAGAAAAACAAACAAAUGGAUGGGAAAACUAUGAGUUGUUUUUUUAUUGUGCUUUUGCUCGUAGGAAUUUACACUCUGGCUGGUACACUCUUUCACUCCGGCUCCCCCUCUCAUCUCUCCUACUAUCGGUGCUUGAGAAAUCUACCAUCUUUCUUACUGAUGCUUUCCUUUUUUUUUUCCUUUUCAUAGAGAACUGCCACAACCAUCGUAUUGGAGACAUGCUAUGCAAGGAUUUGUCAUGCUUGGGGGAUUGUGAAAGUUCUUAUUUUCCAAAGAAAGUUAAGGAAGCUUUUUGCGUAGGCAAGUUCCUCGCUCGCAAAUGUGUAUGUGUCAUAUGUGACUAGAAUUACAGUAUGGUUAUGGAUGCAUAUAGCAUCAAGUGACCGGAAUAAAAUUUAUAUAUGAGCAAGAAAGAUUAUAAUAUAUAUUUAAACAACAUCAAAUUAAUCCAAGGUGUUGUUUAUGCAACAUCAAUUUAAUCCACAUCAAAUGAAUCCCGAACUCUUGCCACCAAG
rnacentral:lncRNA from 1 species